rnacentral:lncRNA from 1 species
CACAUAUCUGUCUAUAUAUCUAAUUAGAUAUGUUACUCUAAUUCAGCAAUAGCUUCUAACUGAAUUUUUAGAUUUCUUGCAGGUGUAGUUGCAUUUGUUCGUGCAGGACCUGUAGAUGCAAAAGGAUUGGGAGGCAUGGUUAAGAUUUCUCCUCCUUCCAGCAUUUGAACAACUUCUUUCAUGGAAGGACGACCCGCUGGCUGCCACUGGAUGCACCAGAGCCCUACAAUUGCGAGUUUCUUUGGAGUUUUACCAUCUCCAUCCUCCCCGAGAUGGAUUCUUAGGUCCUCUCCUUCUUCUAGAAGAUUAUAGAUCCAUUCUGGAUAGUAAAUUUCAGUUGGGAUUGCUGAGGUUGGAUCAAUAUUCUUCCUUCCCCCUACCAUCUCAAGCAGCAGCAUUCCAAAACUAUAGACGUCCGACUUAUAGGACACAUUUCCGAAGUUCCUGGAGAACACUUCAGGUGCAAUGUAGCCCAUAGUCCCUCUAGCUAUAGUCAUGGACACUAUGCUUUGAUCCUUAGAACACAACUUGGCCAAACCAAAAUCAGAAAUUUUUGGAGUGAAAUUGUCGUCUAAUAAAACAUUAUGAGGCUUGAUGUCGAAAUGGAGGAUUCGUUGAUCACAUUCCUGAUGAAGAUAAUAAAUUCCCUUGGCUACAGCAAGAGCAAUAUCUUGCAACUUGUCCCAACCAAGAAAACGAUUGUUAUUGUCUGCCGAUGAAAUGAAAUAGUGCAGUGAACCAUUGGCGAAGAACUCAUAAACGAGAGCUCCGUUAAAUCGAUCAGCACAGAAACUAACCAAACGAACCACGUUGACAUGGUGGAUACGUCCCAUCAUUCCAACUUCCUUUAUGAAAUCUUCCCCGUUUCUGUUGGAACUAUUGAGAACUUUUACAGCGACAAAGCAUUCAGAAGAAAGCUUUCCUUUGAAAACAGUUCCAUAGGCUCCUUGGCCUAACUUGUCCUGGAAUUGGUUUGUGAUCCUCUUAAUGUCCGCGUAGGAAUACCUGCUUGGUUUGUGAGCUUUGUAAUCUUCUAAAAACUUGUCAAUCUUUAAUUGGCUCUCCUUUUCUUUUCGAUUAGAACUAUAGACACGAUAGGCUGCAACAACCAGUACUAAUACAGCAAAUGAUCCCAGGGAUGCACCUGCACAUUAAUUAAACAAAUCAUCGAGUAAAUUAUAGUAUUCCCGACAUGGUCUAAAUAGACAUGAAUUCCUUGUUGCACCUGAAAGAAAAUAAUCAGUUAGACAACUCACAUGUUGCCACUAAUUUUCUUGUUGCACCUGAAAACAAAGAAUUGAAAUUAAGUAAAUAGUUUGCAGGGCUAAUUGAGCUCAUAUUCUGGAUGGAAGAAAACAAUGAAUUUCUCAUGACUGUUUGCACGCAGUUAAUUCAAAUCCAUGUCAAAUGUGUUGCAUCUAGUUAUUUGAAAUACAAAACUCAAUAUAUGUAAGUAGAAUAUAUUUCAAUAAAUAUUUUUCUAGAUAAGUAGAAUAUAUAUGUAAAACGAAAUCAACACUAAAUAUAUAUGCAGCCUUACUGGCUUUCUUCAAGUAAACGCAUUCAAUUUCUGCGUACCCGGCGGCGUACAAUUCUACAACUGUUGCCUUCCGCUUCACAUUCUGCACAAUUUGGUUUAUCCCAUUUGAAAAGAGGAUCACCAUUCGCGCCCGCACUUGGAACCGACAAAACAUCGUACAUCUUUGUACAGGACUCGAGGGCCAGCGAGUCCCAAAGAAAAUAGUCAGAUGAAAGGGCAUACACUCUGUAGCCAGGGCCACCUAUGCAGGGAACUGGUGUGUCUAAUUCUCUUUCAACAGGACAGUGGAAUAAGGUAUAGUUUCUGGUAAAAAAGGGGAGGAAGUAGAAUUGAGAGGCUGUCAAUGGCAUGUUGAUGUUGUCAACUUCUAAAGGCUUUAGUAGCAGGCAAUUAUACGGUUUAUGGACUUGGACUUCCUGAUUUUUGUAAUCUAUGCGUUUCACCAAGAAUUUCAUCACUACCACUCGGUGCUCCUGUCCGCCGUCACCCUCAUUCGCAUGGCAAUCAGUUGGCCGACCACAGUGAUGUCUGCGGUGAAACGGGAAAUGGAUAGCCUUGCCAUGAUUGCCGCAUUCGGACUCCGUGCACGUAUACGCAUUUUGGGUUGCUCUGAGAAUUGUAAACAAAGCAAUUAAGAAUAUGCGAGGCCAAGAGAUAUCGAGCUCUUGCUGCUGCAUUUCUGAGGUUUUUCCCAUGGAUUUCUUCUAAGCAAUGGUAGGUCUAUGUAAAUAGAGAGUAUUUUUUAUUAAGUUCAGCUUCACGGAAGAUGUUCUUACAAAAACUAACAACCAAAGAUUCAAUUAAUUACACAAGAAUUACUCGGAAAGCAAGCACAACUGCAGUUUCAUCGAAGGUGCUCUUACAAAAACUAAUUAUUGUUCAACACAAAAGACUUUGUAGAGCACUUGACCAUAAAAAAGCAAUUGAUCGAUCGGGUCUCAAUCAAAGACUCAUUCACAAUUAAUUAUUGUUGUGUCCUGUCCUGUCCUCUGUGUGGUUCCAUUCACGGUUACCUCAAGGACCGCGUCUAAAAAAUGCGACUUUAUAUGGAAUUUAUGUCACCUUAUAUUUUUGCACAUUACUUUAUAAUAUUAGCACGAAAAUUAGCAUUAAAUUGUAAACGAGCAGAGAAUCUAUGAAGAGUUUCAUUUCGAGAGAGUCUCAUUAGACCAUCUCCAAAGGAGAUGUAAAAAAUGUCACUAGACAUAUAAUAGUAACAAAUGACGUACCAGUUACUCCAACCGAGAUAUCAAAGCUAAAAUGGAAAAUAUGGCUAGCUGUAGACAAAGAUAUGUCAAAUUUGAAGUUGCCUUCAAAUAUGGUUUUUGUUAUUUUCAAAGGCAUUCUUCUUGUCUCACCUUUUUUUUUUUUUAGUACAUCGAUACUUUUACACUAGGGAGAUGAGGAGUUCGGUUAAGCCACACAAUGGGCAGCCUAAUUUGGUAUCGAAUUCGUCAUCCACGAGAUUCUAAGACUUCUCACUUCUAAGUAAAGAGGAAUACCACAAAACCGUAAUACUGAAUAGCUACUUGUCUUACCUUAAAUGUUAGCAUAUUUAAAUAUUAUUUUAUUAUUUUAAACCGAUAACAACUCAACUUUCAUUAUUUUUGUUUAAAAAAACAUAAAUGAAGUAAUAAAUUUUGGCAUAUUAGGUGGAAGAAAAAUAUUAACAAUAUGUCAAAUUAUCAAGUCAACCAUCAAAUUAAAAUUUAAUAUUUUAAAUUUGACAUUUUUUUUUGAGAAAUGCUUUCUCAUUAUUUAUUGUUUUGGUAAAAUACCUAGUUCCACAGCGGAAAUUACCUUUUCUGUUGUAAAAUCGAUGGUGUGUGCAGUGGAAUAAACAAAUAAGACACAAUAUUUACGAGGUUCCUCUACAGUCAGUGUGACUGGAGUACGUCCUCGGGGCAGCAGCAAUGCUUUUAUUUAUAAUCUGAAGUAAUAAGAUUACAAAGAUAACUCCCCUCUCUCUUUUCUCCCUUUCUGCCGUGAGCCUUGUGGCUUCUCACUUCUUCCUCUCUUCUUCCUUUUAUCACCACAUUUUAAACACUUGUAAUGCUCUAUUUAUAGAGCAAACAUUUUGAAAGCAAACAAAACACUAUUAAACUUUUGAAAGGUUUACUAUAUGCAUGUGGGCAUACAUACCCACUAUUUACAACACUCCCCCUUGGAUACCCACAUAAGUCUUUAAUUAACUUGUUAAAAUCUUGAUCUGUUUUUAAUGCUCCCCUUGAUAAGUAUCUCCCCCUAAUUUCAAAUCAUUUAGGCUGAUCGUUGAUCAUUCUGUUUCAGUCUCUUAGUAAGAAGAGUUGCCGAAAGAGGUGCUUUACUUGUUGUUAACUUUCCACGGGCUUGUUCUAGAACUAGGCUGGAGGGUCUUCUACUAGACUUCCUACAAAGGUCUGAAUUUACUUCUUUUAUCUGGAGCUAAAUUUAAUUCAAGGGUGGUGGACACUUGAUCUUGAAUCAAACUUGUGAUUUCUUCAAGGACCUUCGAGACUUGAUCUUGAAUGAAGUUGUACCGUGGGGAGCUUCACAUGGCAAGUGAUCUUCGGCUUUGUCGGGGAUGAAUCAGCACAUGUUUAUUGCGCUUGUCUCCACAUACUUCAAUGUAUCAUUUUCACUUGCCUUACUUGUUCCCCUUGCUUAAGUAGUAUUUUCCCUGGUUUUCCCCAUGCAUGUGUGGCAUAUUCUCCUAUAGUAUUUGCUCUCUGAUGCAGGAGUGGAAUGCAACCCUUACAUUUGGAUGGUUCAUCACUUCUUGGUGACUGGAGACCCAACUCCAACAACAGUUGAAGAUGACUACUCGAGAGCAAUACUAGGUAAGCAAUCAGGAAAGGUUACAGGCAGUCAGUUCCUUACCGGAAGUUUGAAUGGAGGUUCCGACAUAUUGCUUUCUUUAUCCUUGUCUUUGCAGGUAAGAACAAGGACAAAGGAAAGGACAGGGAGAUUGCAUGAUAUGAGAUACUUUUGCUCUCAUCCCUGAUGAUAUGAGAUAUUCUUGCUCUGGUGUGACUUGUUUUAAAGAGGUAUUCUCGGAGAGGAAGAAAAUUGAGUAUUUCGAGAUGCUGUGUUGAAAAUGUAUUCUCGGAGAUGAGGAAGAGUUGGACAUUCUUGCAAGUCUGCCUUGUUAUGGAGAACGGAGGUCAACAUAUAUAGAGAUUUCCCCAAUAGCAGGUAGUGGUGUGGAUGUGGCUUUGUCAUCCACGCUUGUUGGCAACAUUGUUCUAGUUGGAAUAGUAAGAUUUACACGUUUUCAACUUUGUCAAAGAUCUUUGACAAAGUUGCACGCGAUAUCAAAAAAGGCUGAGAUUGCAUUUGAAAAUGCCAACGAACUUUAUUCAGGAAAAUCUGGUUUUUGAAAUUCGGAAAGUGGUGCCUCUUCGAUCUCUGAACAAGUGGCUCUGCUACCUCUUCUUUUAUAAAGACAUCAAUUGUGUUCAAGAGUAUAAAGUUGCUGCCUGUAGAAAUUUUCCCCUUCUUGCACUUCUGAAAUUUUAUUUGACCUCAUUUUUCCUUCAUCAUUUCUGAAAAUGACUUGCCCAUCUAACAUUUGCUUAGAUUUGAGUCUUAGGAGUGAUACGGACGAGCAUCGUCAAGAUAAUAUAUGGCGUCCGUCCUUCUUAUCUUCUAAUGGUCCUCUUAUAAUUGGGGACUCUGUGGUGAAAAAUAGCAUAACCGUUAUUGUGGUAGCUAGGAAUCUUCUCACUCCAAAGGAUAACAGAAUCCUUUUAAAACGGUCUAAUGAGUUGGCCGUUCAAGACUCCUUGGCUCUCAGUGUUCAGUGUGCUGGCUUUGUUUCCAAUAUGGGGCAACGCCUACUUGCUCAAACUCACCAAGUUGAAUCAUUGAUGGCUGAGGUGGCAAGUCUUAAACAAGAGAUCUGAGGGCUCAAGCAUGAGAAUAGAGUGUUACACGUGCUUGCAAAUAAUUACUCGACGAACAUGAAAAGAAAGCUAGACUAGCUGCAAGAAUCCGAAAGUCGGAUUCAAAGUGAUCACCAGAGGUUCGUUGCUAGAUUCUAAAAGCAACUGAUGCAUUCCCCUUCUGGUGUUUUGCCAAGUACUGGGGUGCCACAUGAUCAAUCUCUAAUGCCUUCUCCUUCUAGGGUACUUUCGAGUAUUGAGGCUUCACAUAAGCAACCUUUGUGAAUGCUUCAUCCUGGUUGUUUGUUUUAACUCAUGUGUAUGUAUAUAUCUGUAAUUUCUCGGAGAUAUUAAUAGAUAAGCUUUAUUUCAUUCAGUGUAUUGUGCUAAAUACAAUAAAGCAUAUACUUCACCAAGAUGUGGUACUUCUGGACCAAAUAUCAAUUUAUCUUUACCCUCACGAAGAUAAAUGAUCUUUCUUAGUGUCUACAUCAUUUGAGUAUUCAACUCAUAAUCUUCAAUCCAUGGUUCUUUUAAUAUUAUAAACAUCAUGGAUAAGAUUCGUGUUGGUAAAUUGUUCGAUCUGCAGUCCGAGACAAUAUUUCUCUCAACACUUUAUAAUCUUUCUUGACUCUUUAGGAGUCUCAAUUUAAUAUCAUCAACUCUUCAGGAAUUCUAAUUUAAUGUCAUUAACUUUUGCAAGAGAUUUUAGUAUGUUGCAACAAUAUCAUAAUGAUAGUACUCACUAAGGAAAUUUAUAUCAUCCAUUAGUAUUGAGUACAUAAUUCAUGUUUUACCCUUCCGGGGCUUACUUCAAGCAAUUUGAAUCAUUCAAGGAUUUUCUACACUUCAUGACAUAUUUUUCUUUGGAAUUUGUACAAAGCAACUUGCUCCCAUGUAUAAUUGGGGGAUUUACUUAUAGAGAUAUGAUGUGGCUGACUCACAACCCUUCGUAUAUAAUUCUCCAUUCAUAUGAACUUGUUUACAAGAGUAUAAUUUCAGAUUUCAAUUAGUAACCUUGUGUCAUAUCAUAUGAGUGUAUUUCACUGUAUUACAAAUGCCCAAUGUAACCUCCUUAGUUCAACAUCUUUUAGCUAUUUGUAUUUCAAGUAUAUAGGUCCAUUUUUCCACGUUCUUACAAAAUUGUAAUGGAAUUGCCUUUCUCCAUUUUGGCCAAUAAUUUUGUUGACGAAAAAGAAUGAGACUCAAUAUCAACACAACUCAUUGAUGAAUUUAGUAGCUACUUGUAAAAACCAAAAUUACCAUUGGUUAUCAUCAAUCCGUGAUCCCAUAUUCUCAUGUGCAUGCGCAUGCAUAAAAACUUUUUAUUUCUUUUUGGAUAUCCAUUGCCUCUUCAAGGGCACAUAACCUCUUCUUGAGCGUUAUAGAGCUUGGAUUUUAAUCUUCACUUUUGGGAGUUGAGUCAUUGGAACCUAUAUGUCUAUCAUACUCCAUGCAUGAGACAUCAACAUUCCUAUGUCCGCGGAUUGUCCUUUCUAGGAUGUAUAUCCAUGCGGCGAUUGUCAUACUUCUAACAUGUAACAGUUAUGUUUCGGGAAUGCAAUAAUUCAGUAAUGCCAUAUUCUUCUUCUUUCGAAUGAAUGAACCUUUUGAGUCUAAGGGUCUGCCACGCUUCAGGCGUGCAACAGAUAAAUCAUUUACUGCACCAUAAUUUUGUCCAACAGGGACAUUAAUUCUUGUAGGCACAUUUGUAGCAAGUAUAUGUGAUUUCAUCACUUUCGUUGCAUCAUUAAGUUGUUCUUACUUUAUUUUCUCAUUGAUUGCUUUGUGAAUCAAAAUAAGACAAAGUCUCUUUGUUCUUCUGGAAUGAUUUUUUCUCAUCAUUCUUCUGGAAUGAUAUUUUCUCAUCGUUCUUUUGGAAUGAUGUUAUUUUCUCCCCAUAAUGGCGGGAAAACUGUCUUAUCAAAAUCAUAGUCUGCAAAUAAUGUGGUAAAUAUAUCCCCAGUCAAGGGUUCCAAAUGUUGAAUGAUAAAUGAUGUUCAACAUCAAUGCCUAAUCGGCGAUGAUGCCUCAUUUCAAUACAUUAUGGCAAUGCAAUAGGCACAUAGAUAACACAAUAAAAAACUCGUAAAUGUGUAAUAUUUGGCUGGUGCUUAAACACGAGUUGUACUGAGAGAUAUCGAUGGUUGGUAACUGGUCUCAACCAAACUUAAUAGUGAAUUAUGUAAAAUGGCAUGUCCACAUGUAGAAAAACUUGCAAUUUCGUUUUCAUGAGCAGAGCACGGGUAAUCAAUUUCAUCCGAUUAAUAAAUGCUUCUGCUAAAUCAUUUUGAGUAUGAACAUGAGGAACAUUGUGUUCAACAUCAAUGCCCAAUGACAUGCAAUAAUCAUCAAAAUUUCGAGAUGUAAACUCUCCAGCGAAUAUACAUUAUAUCAUCAUUUACAUACAUCAAGGAACUUCUGGUCCUUAUUUAAUAGCCUAUGGAUUGAGAUUCUCAUGGCCUUUAUUACAAUUAAGUUGAGGCACUGCAACAUUUCAAACUUAAGGUACUUAUCAAGAAACUUCAUGUCCGAUCUUGAGGAUCUAGUGACUUCAUGCCUGAUCUUUUUACAUGAUGGAACUUCGGGUCCAAUCAUUUUAUGUGAUGAGGAUCAAGAAACUUCAGGUUCUGAUUUGAUCAAGGAACUUGAUUUGAUCAAGGAACUUCAGGUCCAGUAUGUACUCAUCGUAACAAAAAUAAGUACAAUAAAUAAAUUAAAGCAAUAGGCGGUAAUUCUGGCCAUGGUAAAUAAAUUGUUUUUAAGUAAAUAAAGUUUGUGACAAGGGCUUUGAUUUAGCACCAUUUACAUAAAUAUCAAAGCCUUAAAGAAAAGGAUAAUAAUUUUACCCAAUGUAAAUAAAUUGCUUUAAAUAAAUAGAACUUGUGAAAUGAUUUUAAGCCAACACUAUUUACAUAAAUAAAUAAUAUAAGAACCUUUUAUUUUGCCACUUCCUUUUGUCCCUUUUUGUUAAUUAAUUUUUUUUUUCUUUCUGUCGGCACCAAGCUUCAAAACUUUUUCUUUUCUCACAUGCUGCACAAUUCCAAAAAAACAACUUUGCCUUUUGUUUUCUUUCACAUGGUGCAACAUACCUUUUCAAGGCUUUGGCCCCAUUUCCCUUUUUAUUUUUGUUUUCACAAUUCUGAAGUCAUUUUGGUUACCCAGGAAAUAAUAGUAACAAUAAGUACCAAUUGGUGUUCCUCCUCCGUGAGUUUCGAAAAAGUCGAAACGGUUCCCAUAAGUUUUGGAGUCAAGAGUGUCUACAACUUAUGAGAAGAUCACCGUUAGAUUUAGCUCAAACUUUAGUAUGAUAUGGAUAAGAGGAUAUUGAACAACGUUUGUGAAGAAACAAUUUCAAUCUGAGCUACCGAAAUGGAGUUUUGGUACUCAUAAGGUGGCUGUCCAGUUUUCUGCUGAAAUUAGAAACUGGUUUGGUAUUUCAGAUAUCUGCGACGAUCGCACAGUUAAAAUUUUCUGAAAUUUUGAUAUGUUGUAAAUACUGAGCAGACGAACAACUUUCAAGAAGAAAGUAUUUCAAUCCGAGGUCCGCAAGUUGGAGUUCUGAGGCUAUUUAUAUGGCUGUCAAAUUCUUUACAAAUUUUGAGUCUGUACUCUUUUGCUUCUUCAAGGGAUGAUAUACAGUCAUACAACAAUAUAUAUAGUUGCUUCAAGAAAAUCAAUUGUAUUGAGAUUUAAAGAUGAAAUGAAAAGAUUUUCUUAUCUGCGAGAUUCCAUUUCCAGCUGAAGGAGGUGAACAGGAUUUGUGGCGCUGUGCUUUCCACUGACAUGAGAGCUUCUCAUGCUGAUAACGUGUUGUAAAAUCGACGGUGUGUGUAGUGGAAUAAACAAAUAAGACACAAAAUUUACAAGAUUUCUCUACAGUCAGUGUGAAUGGAGUACGUCUUCGGGGCAGCAGCAAUGCUUUUAUUUAUAAUUUGAAGUAAUAAGAUUACAAAGAUAACUCUCCUCUCUCUUUUCUCCCUCUCUGCCAUGAGCCUUGUGGCUUAUUACUUCUUCCUCUCUCUUCCUUUUAUCACCACAUUUUGAACACUUGUAAUGCUUUAUUUAUAAAGCAAAUAUUUUGAAAAGCAAACAAAACACUAUUAAACUUGUGAAAGGUUUACUAUAUGCAUGUAGGCAUACAUACCCACUAUUUACAACAUUUUUUUUUCUUUUGUUAAGCAAACAGGGAAACCUUAACUUUUUAUGUUGUAGAGUCAUUCCUCCGCCUGUAACUUUCAAUCUCAUGCAUGUGUAAAAUCCGGAUCCUUUUCCUAGGAUUCUAGAGAUUUCAUGAUCGUAACCGUUCAUCGUACAUUAUGUGGUUAGAAAUCAUUUCAAAAUUUAAAAAUUUUAAAUUAAAUAUAAAUAGUACCUAACGAAAAUUGACCAUACUAUAUACGAUGAACGGUCACGAUCAAGGGAUCCCUAUGAUCUCUAGGAAAAUGAUCUGACAAGAAUCCUUUUCCGUAAAAUCAUAUCUUUUGUGUUUAUAUAUAUAUUUAUAUAUUAUUUGUAUUGCUGCGUACUUUCUGUGUUAAACCUCGCUGAUAUUUUUCUCCACUGGAAUGAGUGGAAGGUCCUCCUCCUUUUCCUCCCUAUGACUAACAACCAAAGACUCAAUUAAUUACACAAGAACUGCUUGGAAAGCAAGCACAACUGCAGUUUCAUCGAAGGUGCUCUUACAAAAACCAUGUUAUGUAGUUAAACACAAAAGUCUUUGUAGCCCACUUGACCAUAAAAUGCAAUUGAUCGAUCGGGUCAAAUCAACAAUCAAUUAUUGCAUUGUCCUGUCCUGUGUGUUUGAUUCCAUUAAAUCAGAAAUUAUAUCGUUUGUGGUUUACCCCAAUCACGGAAGCCCACAAAGAACGACUUAUUGACUUACAUUAUUUAUAAUUAUGGAAAAUACUAAAAAACCUAUUUUAAAAGUAGAAUUCUCUAUAGACAUUAUGUUAUUUAUAUAUUUUUUGCAUAAUAUUUUAUAAUAUUGGUACGAUAAUUGACGUUAAACUAUAAGGUGGUAGAUGCGAGAUUUUUCAGUAUGACCGUCACACGAGGUGGUACACCACGUGUCAUUAUAUAAAUGAUGAGAUAUGUGUCUUAAAAAGUUAAUAACUUAAAAAAAAAAAUAUUUUUACCACUUACGUAAAAACACGUAAUGUACCACCCGUAUUCCCGUCACAACUCAAAAUUUCUACUGGUAGAGAGUUCCACUUUGAGAGUCUCUUUAGCAUUUCUCAUAAUUUAUUGUUUAGGUAAUGCUAGGGAAACUAAAUAUGGAGACAAAAAUUUGGAGAUUAAAUGAUGUAUCACCAAUAAGAAUGAAUACGUUUAACAACGCUUAAAUAAUAAACUAAUCAUUAACUAGUAUGUCCUUUAUUUUCCAAACUUUUAUCUACAAAUUUAUUCUCAUUUAACAUUAUCUUUAUUGUUUUGGUCAAUACCUAGUUCUACAGCGGAAAAUACCCCUUUUUUUUUUCUUUUGUUAAGCAAACGGAGAAACCUUAACUCUUUCAUUUGUAAAAUCAUUCCUCUUUACCUGCCCCUUUCAAUCUCAUACAUGUGUGAAAUCUUUUAUUUUCUGUUUAUAUAUAAAUUAUUUGUAUAGCACACCUGUUUCAAACCUCGCUGAUAUUUUUCUCCAUGGGAAUGAGUGGAAGGUCCUCCUCCUCCUCCUCUAUGCGGAUUUUAAUUGCGGCUUUUAUUGUUAUUAGCUUAUCCCCUAAAACCAUUUGUAACGCCGCCCAGCAAACGUGUACCCCUUCUUCCUGCGGCCAUAUCCGCAAUAUAAGCUACCCUUUUCGACUAAAAGGUGAUCCGCGCCACUGCGGCGAUUCACGCUUCACCCUUUCUUGCGAGAACAAUAUUACCAUACUAAGCAUAAGUUUAUCUGGCGAGUACUAUGUACGGGCAAUCAACUACCAUAAUCAAACAAUCCGAGUCGUUGAUCCGGGCAUUGACAAGAGCAAUUGCUCCUCCCUUCCUCGUCAUUCUUUGGGUUAUUCUAUGUUUACCGAUCCGUAUGAUAUAUACAACCCCGACGUCGAAAAUUGUACUGGUUAUGAAGCAGAUGCGAAAAACAAAAGAUUUACGGAUGCAUCAUCAUCGCCACCAAUCUGCUCAAGAACAAUAGCUUUAACGUUUUUGAAGUGCGGGAGUCCAGUGAAUUCAUCUCAAUCUCUGUCCGUGGUCGACACUGCUCUAUGUUAUCCUGUUGAAUCUACUUCGACUUCUUCUUUGUCAUGGUCGUCGUCCGCAUCCCCCCAACCAAAAACUUAUGGCUAUGUCGUGAUUGGACCGUUUCGUGUAUGGGAGUUGAAUGAAGGUUGCAGCAUAGAGCGAGUGACUUUCGCCUACUUGUCCGACGACUACGACGCUUCUUAUAAAUCCAUACACAAUUCUCUGGUAUAUGGCUUUGAGCUUAACUAUACGGUCUAUUCCUCUCGUGACUCCCAUUGCGGAGGAGCCCAGUGGAGAUACAGUGUUAGAUGGAACAAUGUUCAAUGUUAUCCUCACAGCGUUGGAGGUGAGUAGUGAAUAAAUCUCAAUUUUAAUUUUUCAUUCAUUUAUCAUCUCUUGUACCUAAACAAGUAAUAUAGAAGCUUAUUUAUAUAAAUGAUCGCAGAGGCAAUGGUCAUCCUUUGUCUCUCUUAUGAAAUCUGUUAGACCAACAAGUUUGAGAUUUUAAUUUAAAAAUCAACACGUGUGCCCACUAAUGUUGUAUUUUUCUUCUUUUUGCUCUGUCACUGUAGGUUUGUUUCGACUUCUAUGGGCUGGGAUUCAAGUUUCAAGGUAAGAGAUCUAUAUAUGAGUGCUUAUAUGACAUUUGAUAGAUAAAAUUUAACUUUAGAGGACAUACAAAAUUAACAUGUUUGUUAAUCCUCUCUAAUAAUAGUGUAAUAAUAGUGUGUCCUAUCAUUUCAUGUGAGUCUCAUCUGUAUUAAAGUGUGUAAGCAAAUAUAUCAAUUUUGUUGUGAAUUAAGAAUUAAUUUGUAUGUUAGAUUAAUGGUUUAAUUCCAUAAUUUCUAGGUCACUCUAUCGAAAAAAUAAUAAAUUUUACCGGAUUACCAUAGAAAAUUAUAUGAUAUCAGUGCAUGUCCCUGCAUCCUAGAUUGAUUCUUGCAUAGAUGGGGCUAGUGAGUUAUGAUCGUGUAGGAUGAAAAUUUGUUUCAAGACGCAUAUAGUUCAUUUUUUUAUACUUUCUUCACCCACACAACUGUGUACAAAGCAGAGAAGUGAAUAACUGGAUACAAUAAAGUAUUGCCUUAUAUACCUUAUUGUUUGUCUAAGUUAUAACACACAGAAACAAAAUCUCCAUCCCUUUUGUAAAUAAAGCUUUCAUGUCCACCCACCAACGCUAUUUACACCUACUUUUUAAUUAAAAUUACAUAUUUAACCUGUGUAAAAUGACUUUUGUGACCCCAAUAAAAAUUAAUUUUAUUUUGUAUUUUGUAGCUAAAAGAAUAAAUGAAACUAAACAACAACAACAACAACAAAGCCUUUUCCCACUAAGUGGGGUCGGCUAUAUAAAUCCUAGAACGCCAUUGCGCUCAGUUUUGUGUCAUGUCCUCCGUUAGAUCCAAGUACUCUUAAGUCUUUUUCUAGGGUCUCUUUCAAAGUUUUCCUAGGUCUUCCUCUACCCCUUCGGCCCUGAACCUCUAUCCCGUAGUCACAUCUUCGAACCGGAGCGUCAGUAUGCCUUCUUUGCACAUGUCCAAACUCAUUUUGUGUACGUGUUGAUGCUUCACCACCCAACAUUCUGUGCCAUACAGCAUCGCCAGCCUUAUUGCCGUCCUAUAAAAUUUUCCCUUGAGCUUCAGUGGCCUACGACGGUUACACAACACGCCGGAUGCACUCUUCCACUUCAUCCAUCCAGCUUGUAUUCUAUGGUUGAGAUAUCCACCUAAUUCUCUGUUCUUUUGCAAGAUAGAUCCUAGGUAGUGAAAACGGUCGCUCUUUGGUAUCACCUGAUCUCCGAUCCUCGCCCUUAACUCAUUUUGGUCUCCAUUUGCACUGAACUUGCACUCCAUAUAUUAUGUCUUUGAUCGGCUUAGGCGAAGACCUUUAGAUUCCACCACUUCUCUCCAAAGGUUAAGCUUCGCAGUUACCCCUCCUGAGUUUCAUCUAUCAACCCUAUAUCAUUUGCAAUUAAGGAUUGUUGAUGCACAAAAUCAGUGAGGACUUCGGUACAACAACAAGUAUUAAGUUAUUGCUCUGGUCAUUAGAGUGGAUAAGUAUGUAAAUGGAUAGAGACAGGAAAGCAAACAUAAGAUGAACGUGGUUCACCCAGAUUGGCUACGUCCACGGAGUAGAUGAGUUCGCAUUAAUUGUGAAGGGUUUACACAAGUACAUAGGUUCAAGCUCUCCUUUAGUGGGUACAAAUGAAUGAUUUAGUACAAAUGACAUUAGGAAAUAUUGUGGGAGAAUGAUCUCGUAAUCACGAAACUUCUAAGUAUUGAAGUGUGGUAUCGUCUUCACUUGCCUUAUCUGUCUCAUAGGUAGAUGUGACAUUUUCUUUGGAAGUACUCUUCCUCCAUCCAGGGGCGGUAGCUUUAACUGGUGGAGAUGCACAAGGUAAUGUAUCAAUUUCACUUGAAGCUUACUUGUAGUGUCAGGCUUGGUCAAGCGCGAUACAAACCAUGUAGUAGGAGUCCCCCAAGUCGCCGAGCUAGGGGAUCUGCUGAAAGAUGUGACAGACAAGGUAAGCAAUCAGAGCUCUAAGUAAUCAGUCCCAGAUCAGAAGUUUGAUUUCGAGUUCCGGCUGAUUGUUCUCAUUCUCCCUAUCUUGCAGGCAGCAUGAAGGAUAAAGAGAAGAAAAGGAGAAUAGAUGAUAUGAGAUACUUUUGCUUUUGAAGAAGUAACUUUCCACAGGCUUAUUCUUGAACUGGGCUGGAGGGUUUUCUGGUUUCCUCCAGAGUAUAAAGCCGACUGAAGAAUUUGAGGGUCAAAACAAGUCCAUCAAAUCUAGAGUACGUUCGACCCUGCUGAUAUGGGAUACUUUUGCUGUUGACAAAGUAGUGGAUGUAUCGGCACGUGUUUUGUUACGCUUGUCUCCACAUGCUUGUAUCCUUCUCACUUUCCCUAUCGGCUCCUCAGGCAGAUGUGGUAUCUUCUCUGGAAGCAUAAGAUGUUGAAGAUGAGUACUCGAGAGCAAUGCCAGGUAAGUAAUCAGGUAAGGGGUUCCAGGCAGUCAGUUCCUGACUGGAAGCUUGAUUCCAAGUGCUGACUGAUUGCUCUCUUUCUCCUUGUCUUGCAGGUAAGAACAAGGCCAAAGGAAAAGACAGGGAAAAAGCAUGAUAUGGGAUACUCUUGCUUUUAACCCUGAUGAUAUGAGAUAUUCUUGCUCUGGUGUAGCUUGUUUGCAGAGGUAUUAUCGGGGGGAAAGAAAGCUGAGUAUUUCGAGAGGCUUCGUUGGGAGUGCCCUCUCAGAUAUGAGGAAGGGUUGAGCAUUUUUGCAGGUCUGCUUGUCCGUUGAGGAUGGAGGUCGACAUAUAUAGGAGUCUCCCUAACAAGAAGUAGUAAUGCUAUUCCUUUACCCUGCUUAGUCAUAGCACGGUAGUGGGAGCUGCCAGCUUCACGUGUGUCAGAGCACUUUGAAAAAGUGGUAUGUGGUAUCUGGAAAGCUAAUGUUGCGUGUGAAGAUUACAGACAGGUUUUAUCCAAGGAGAUCUAGCUCUCGAAGUUGAGAAAGUGAUGCUUCUUCGGUUUUCGAACAAGCAAUCAUGUCGGGGAUCUAUCUCUCGAGAUUCGGAGAACGGUGCCUCUUCGAUUUUUGAGAGAGCACUCCUGCUGGGAGUCUGGCUCUCGAGAUUCAGAGAGUGGUGUCUCUUCGAUUUUUGAGAAAGUAAUCAUGCUGGGAGUUUCGGAGGACGGUGCCUCUUCGAUUUUGGAGCAAGCAAUCUUGUUUGGAGUGUUUUCUCAAAUGUGAGUAAAGGUAGGGCAUGUUUGCUAGUCUACCUUGCCAUGGAGCACAUAGGUUGACACACAGGGACUUUCCAAUUAUCCAGCCGUGGUGCUGUUCCUUUACCCUUGUAGGUAAUAAUAUGAUAGCUAAACCUUCAAAAUUUCUGUGUCUAAAACUUUAUUGGUGUUGUUUCUUUGCUAUUCUUUUACCCUUCUUGGUCAUAGCGAUGUAGUGGGAGCUGCAAGCUUCACGUGUCUAAACUUUGUUAGAGAUCUUUGGCAAAGUUAUCUGUGGUACCCAUGAGCUGAUGGUGCGUGUGAAAAAUGGAUGAUUGAAUAGUAAGAUUCACGUGCUUUCUACUUCACCAGAAUGCCCGUAAUUUCAGCAAAGCUGAGUGUGCAUGUGACAGAUGCUGACAAGCCUGAAAAAAAGCAGGUGCCUCUUCAAUUUCGGAGAUCGGCCCUCGUGGUCUCUGAGCAGCCCAGCUUUUGAGAAAGCAAAUGCCUCUUCGAUUUCUGAGAUCGGCCCUCGUGGUCUCUGAGCAGCCCAACUUUUGAGAAAGCAAACGCCUAUUCGAUUUUUGGGCAGACGCCUCUUCGAUUUCUGAAGCUCCGUCGAGUGCAGAUUUUUAUAGAGGCUGGCAUUAAGUUUCAAAGCACACUUGAAUCUUCACCAGUAGAAGCUCCCUUCUUGCACUUCUAAGAUCUUGAUUUGUCCGACCUCUUCUCUCUUCAACACCUUUGAAAAUGUCUGGCCCCUCCGACCGUCGUUUUGACUUGAACCUUGUUGAAGAGGCAGCCACGCCUUCUCCAGACAACAUAUGGCGCCCAUCCUUCUUAUCCCCUACUAGUCCUCUUACCGUUGGGGAUUCCGUGAUGAAGAAUGAUAUGACUGCUACGGUGGUGGCCAGGAACCUUCUCACUCCCAAAGAUAACAGACUAUUUUCCAAACGGUCUGAUGAAUUGGCUGUUAAGGAUUCUCUGGCUCUAAGUGUUCAGUGUGCUGGUUCUGUGUCUAAUAUGGCCCAACGCCUAUUUGCUCGAACUCGCCAAGUUGAAUCAUUGGCGGCUGAAGUGAUGAGUCUCAAACAGGAGAUUAGAGGGCUCAAGCAUGAGAAUAAACAGUUGCACCGGCUCGCACAUAACUAUGCUACAAACAUGAAGAGGAAGCUUGACCAGAUGAAGGAAUCUGAUGGUCAAGUUUUACUUGAUCAUCAACGGUUUGUGGGUUUGUUCCAAAGGCAUUUAUUGCCUUCGUCUUCUGGGGCUGUACCGCAUAAUGAAGCUCCAAAUGAUCAACCUCUGAUGCCUCAUCCUUCUAGGGUUCUGUCCAGUACUGAGGCUCCGAAUGAUUCCCCUCCGGUGCCUUCUCUUUCUGGGACUCUACCGACUGCUGAGACUUCUCCUAAGCAACCUUUGUGAAGGCUCCCUCUUAUUUGUUUAUUUUGACUCAUGUAUAUGUACAUAUUUGUAACUUAUCGGAGAUAUCAAUAAAUAAGCUUUGCUUCAUUUCCAACGUAUUGUGUUAAAGACACCAAAGCCUUCUUCACUGAGUGGGGUCGGCUAUAUGAAUCUUAGAACGCCAUUGUGCUCGGUCCUGUGUCAUGUCCUCCGUUAGAUCCAAAUACUCUAAGUCUUUUCUUAGAGUCUCUUCCAAAGUUUUCCUAGGUCUUCCUCUACCCCUUCGGCCCUGAACCUUUGUCUCGUAGUCGCAUCUUCUAACCGGAGCGUCAGUAGGCCUUCUUUGCACAUGUCCAAACCACCGUAACCGAUUUUCUCUCAACUUUCCUACAAAUUUCAGCUACUCCUCCUACUUUACCUCGGAUAUCCUCAUUCCUAAUCUUAUCUUAUCUUUUCUCGUGUGCCCACACACCAUCCAACGAAGCAUCCUCAUCUCCGCUACACUCAUUUUAUGUACGUGUUGAUGCUUCACCACCCAACAUUCUGUGUCCAUACAACAACAUCACCGCCUUAUUGUCGUCCUAUAAAAAUUUUCCCUUAAGCUUCAGUGGCAUACGGCGGUCACACACCAGACCGGAUGCACUCUUCUCCACUUCAUCCAUCCAGCUUGUAUUCUAUUGGUUGAGAUCUAUCUUUCUCCGUUCUUUUGCAAGAUAGAUCCUAAGUAGCGAAAACGAUCGCUCUUUGGUAUUUCCUGAUCUCCGAUCUCACCCUAUUGGCAUUCUCCUCCAUUUGCACUGUCCAUUACUUGCCAUCCUUUAUAUUCUGUCUUUGAUCGGCUUAGGCGAAGACCUUUAGAUUCCAACACUUCUCUCCAAAGGUUAAGCUUCGCAUUUACUCCUUCCUGAGUUUCAUCUAUCAGCACUAUAUCGUCUGCGAAAAGCAUACACCAAGGAAUAUCAUCUUGAAUACGUCAUGUUAACUCAUCCAUUACCAACGCAAAAAGGUAAGGACUUAAGGAUGAGCCUUGAUGUAAUCCUACAAUUAUGGGGAAGCUUUCGGUUUGUCCUUCAUAAGUUCUUACGGCAGUUUUUGCUCCUUCAUACAUAUCCUUUAUAGCUUGGAUAUAUGAUACUCGUACUCCUUUCUUCUCUAAAAUCCUCCAAAGAAUGUCUCUUGGGACCCUAUGAUACGCUUUUUCCAAAUCUAUAAAGACUAUAUGUAAAUCCUUUUUCCCAUAUCUAUAUCUUUCCAUCAAUCUUCGUAAGAGAUAGAUUGCCUCCAUGGUUGAGCGCCCUGGCAUGAACUCGAAUUGGUUGUCCGAAACCCGUGUCUCUGGCCUCAAUCUAUGCUCAAUGACUCCCUCCCAGCGCUUCAUUGUAUGACUCAUUAGCUUAAUACCCCUAUAGUUCAUGCAGUUUUGUACGUCGCCCUUAUUCUUGUAGAUAGGCACCAAAGUGCUCUUUCGCCACUCAUUUGGCAUCUUCUUCGUUUUCAAAAUCCUAUUGAAAAGGUCAGUGAGCCAUGCUAUACAUGUCUCUCCCAAGACUUUCCACACUUCGAUCGGUAUAUCGUCUAGGCCCACUGCUUUUCAAUGCUUCAUUUUCUUUAAAGCUACAACCACUUCUUCCUUCCUGAUUCGACGAUAAAAGGAGUAGUUUCUACACUCUUUUGUGUUACUCAACUCCCCUAAAGAAAUACUCCUUUCAUGUCCUUCAUUGAAAAGAUUAUGAAAAUAACAUCUCCAUCUGUCUUUGACCGCGUUCUCUGUAGCAAGAACAUUUCCAUCCUCAUCCUUGAUGCACCUCACUUGGUUUAGGUCCCUUGUCUUCUUUUCCCUUGCUCUAGAUAGUUUAUAGAUAUCCAACUCUCCUUCUUUGGUAUCUAGUCGCUUAUACAUAUCGUCAUAAGCCGCUAACUUAGCUUCUCUCACAGCUUUCUUCGCCUCUUGCUUCGCUCUUCUAUACCUUUCACCAUUUUCAUCAGUCUUGUCCUUGUAUAGGGCUUUACAACACUCCUUCUUAGCCUUCACCUUUGUUUGUACCUCCUCAUUCCACCACCAAGAUUCCUUUUGGUAUGGAGCAAAGCCCUUGGACUCUCCUAAUACCGCUUUUGCUACUUUUCGUAUACAACUAGCCAUGGAAUCCCACCUUUGGCUAGCUUCCCCUUCUCUAUCCCACCCACAUUGGGUGAUUACUUUCUCUUUGAAAAUGGCUUGUUUUCUCCUUUUAGAUUCCACCAUCUAAAUGAAACUAAAAUUUUAAAAAAAAAUCCAAAGUGAAUAGAAAAAAAUUCCAAAGCAACGAUCUCUACCAACUCUUGCUGCCGCUAUUCGAUGUAGAGCACCUCCACCCAUCUUAUUUUGUCAUGGCAAGGUGCCAAAACCACUCCAAAACACACAUAUUAUGAGCCUUGGUAAUUGGUUGUCAUUUCUUGGGCCAUGACAGUUCUAGCCCAAGCCAAGCCAUGGCAGGAUGACGUCAUGUUGCAUUGAGUCAAGUCAAAAAGCUGGAAAUACAACGAUCUUUGCCACAUCGCACCUUUUUUGCCCUUCAGUUCAAAUAGUACUUAAAUUCAACAAUCUCGAAUCUUUCAUAAAUUAAAAAAAGAAAAUCAUUUAAAAUUUUAAUUAUAUAUUUCAAAUAAAAAAUUUCCAUUUUUUCACUAAAAAUAAAAUAUGAACACAUGGUGCAGCUAUAGAGAAGAAACAAUCCAGUUAAGCAAUUGAUAUGUCAAGAACGACCUAACAGAAGCUUUCAUUAAGCGCCUUCAAAUGAUUGUUUGAUCGUUGGUCAUACGUACCAGCUUUUGAUCACUGCUUAGGGCCAUGCAAUAUUGCACGUAGCAAUGUUGGUCUGCCUAAGGCCCGACGCGAUCCAACCAUAUAGCACAUUUCAGUUCGUUACCGGAUAAGAACCCAGCAUAUCACAUCUGCGCGUUUUUAGUUGUGCAUUCUAUAUGCCAAUUGCGCUGCCCUUACGUACUAAAUGGGUCCUCAAAGAAAGAUAGGAACCUAUGUCGGUUAUGAUUCUCUUUUUAUUAUUUGUUACUUAAAACCUUUGACAGGCGAUCUCCUUACCACUCGUUUUGCAGAUUGUUACUUCUGCGAGACAGUCUUUCCGUCGUUAGGGGGAGAUAAGAAUGUCAAUGUUCCUGAAUAACGACGUGAAUUAUUGUGGACGACUCCCACUUUGUCUCAUUUAGAGCCAUGCACCGCCCUGUCUGAGAUUGAAAUGCGAUGCAUUCUAGAUCUUCAGAACGUAGCUUAGGGCAUACCAGAUGCUUUCACUGAUCUAGCGAAAGUGACGAGAUCAUAUAUACCAUCUGCAAACGUGCCUGCAAAGAUGGAUGUACCAAAUGUAUGACGGGUUUCCCUCUUGGAAGGCCGGGACGCCCCCGUGGCUGACCCACGUACAUUGGCAGCUAACCAAUCAUCUACUCCUACCCACAAGUGUGACAGACCUCUUGGUUCAAAGGAUUCACAAAUCCAGAAGAGGAAAUCCACGACACAUGCUGUUGAGCCUACCGUGAAUCUAACUAUCGCCUAAUCAUUCUAUCCAACGCAUGAGGAAAUUAUAGAUUAUGGAAGCAUCAUGGAAGACACGAAUCCACCUGCAAAGAAUUGAAAGAUUUCGAUCCAUUAUACUAGCUUGGAUGAUGUUUGGUAUAGAAAUGAGAUGAUAAUUGACGAUGCAUUAGCAUAUGUAGUAGCUACUGAGAUCAUGUUAAGCGAUGACAUUAAACCUUGUUUUGUUGAUGAAUGUCGAUGUAGAACUGAUUGGUCCAACUGGAAAUAAGCAAUUGAAGUCAAACUUGAUUCUCUUGCGAAACACGAGGUGUUUGGGCCUGUAGUUCCUACACCGCAACAUGUGAUGAUAAUCAAGAUUGUUUGAUUAAAGCAAAUCAGUCACGAAUCAAGACAAACUCAAGCCUUGGUUCUUUCAUCAAUUAAAGUUAUUUGGCACACGAAUCAAGUCCAAAUCAAGUCUUGUUUCUUUUGUCAAUCAAAAUAAUUUGGUCAAAUUAAUUGAUUUGGUUCAAAUCAAGUCUCGACGUGGAGAAGCCUAUAAAUACGAGGCUCGAAGACAAAGCAAAGAUGGCAAAGACACACCGGGUCCAAACGGUUCCAAAAAAAAAAAAAAAGCGUGGAGACAAUUUUGACAGCAUCAAACUAGUGGAUGCAAACCACUUAAAGUCAGUGGAGAACCACAUAAUAUUAGUAUAUGCAAACCACUUAAAAUUAAUGGGUCGAAUUCCCGUUAAUUACUAUACUAGUCAAAAUGGCACAAAGCCGUUCCAAAUCCCAUGUGGCACAAAGCCGCAUCCAAGUUCGCAAUUUGGAACUAUGUUGGUUUGAUACCACAAAGGGUGUGUAGGCAAUCUAGUAUUAAAUUCUAGACACACCACAACGAAACCCCAAUCUAAGCAGAUAAACGCUCUUGUGUUCUUCAACAAGCUCGCAGAGAAUCAACAAGUGCAACAAAAUCAUGCCAAUUCAUCCACCACCAAAGCCUAAGAUCAAACAUUGACAACCCUUGAAGUAAUCACAAUCUUAAUACAGGAUCAAGUGUUCACCACUCUUAAAUUGAAUUCUACUUUGGAGUUUGAAUCAAAGGAUUAUUCUUCUAAAAGAAUAGCUACGUAGAGAUUGUAACCCUAAGCACUCAUUAAUACAAAUCCAUUAUUUGUAAUGUGUGCUUUUGUUAUUUGUCAUUUUGUGUUUACAAUUUGGCAUACCUGGUGGGACUAUCUCUGCCUCUCAUCUCUUUCUCCAAGUGAGUCAACUCCAAUCCAAGCAAUGACGUUGAAGAAGGCUCAAGUUACAUCCAUGAAUCUAGGUAAGAAUGUGAUUGGUUUCAUAACAAGGUGCGACCUUGUAGGCAUCGUCUCACAAAGCAAGACGAGGGCAUCCCUCUCAACCCAACACACCGCUCCAACGGUGUUUCCACUUAUAUGACAUGGAGUUUGCCACAAGAAUCUAUUGUCCAUCAUCUCUGUGACUCAGAGCGAGUUGGAGGCUUUAGCCCAACAAACUGAUGUCAUGGGGCAUUCGUCCAAGAUGCACAUAGUACAUCAAAAGAACAAGUCGGUUAUUUCCUUUGCUUCGUUGUGGAUGAAAAAGCUUAUAUCUCGAAGCAAUGAAAGAUGCCCGCCCAUAACUAAGGAUUCAAUAGUGCGGUCAUCCUUCCUUGCUUGUAAUGUGUACUCAAAAUAGGUUCAUGCCAAGUGCUUUAGCCAUCAACCACUCCUUGCACGCACGAGUUAAAACUAGUUGAUUAUUUGAGGAAUCAAAUCGGGUACGACUCAAGUCCAAAUCAAGUUUUAAUUCUUUGUCAAUUAAACUUAUUCGGCACACGAUUAAGUCCAAAUCAAGUCUUGGUUUUUUUAUCAAUCAAAAUAAUUUGAUCAAAUUGCCAAAAUAGUUAAAACAUAUAAUAAUAAUAUACUUUAUUUUUAUUUAUAAUCUCUCCUACUUUCACUCUCUCUCCUGUCCCCCAUUUUCUCCGCCGCUAUUCCUCCCUCAUCUCAACUUCACUGGAUCUUCGAGAGCAACCCCGUCGUCAGUGGUCGCAUGGCCACCGUCAACAUCUCCACCCACACCUUCGAGGCCGGCGCCUCCAUUCUCCACCCCAGGAACUUGCACUCUUUGAACUACACCAAGCUCCUCAACCUCGCCGUCAAAAGCCCCUCCUCCUCUUCCGCGCUUCAAAUCAAAGCUUCCCUUUGCUGAUAAGAUUGUUUUGCUUCCAAUUCACUGCUCAUGCUCUUCAGAUACGGCUUCUCCCUUGUCAGGAUGGACAAAUUUGUUGAGGUAUAAAAGUAAAUAAAUAAAAGGUUUGUUUAUUGGGUUUAACUUAGCGUUUUGUUGUUGAAUUUGGUAAAUUUCUUUGUGUGGUGCAGAUAAGAUUGUUUGGCAUCUUAUUAAUUUAUUGGGUGUUAAUUUGGUGAAGUCCUUGCCUAUGAGAAUCAUCAAUCCUGCUACUGAAGAAAUCAUGGUCCUUUUCUCACCCUAAGCAUUUCUGUCAAUUAAAUUAAUUUCUGGGUUGUUUUCUAAAUUUAAUUACUGUUUAAUCAUCGCAUUUGAUCGUGUGUAGGAUCUAGAAGAAGGAGAGGGAUAGUCGUUGGUGCAGUGGUGGUGGUCGGUGUUGAGCAGGAGUGGGAGGGACGGCGGCGGUCCUAGGGGUCUGAUGCGGCGGGAGAACGAGGGAGUAGGAAAGAGAUCCUUCCAGUUUGUAACAGGGACAAGGACGCAUUUUGUAAAACUAGCGAGGGUGUAGGAGAGUUUCAUUGAACAUGCACUGUUCCUCUGUAUGUUAUGGAAAAAGGCUAGAUUUUCAAACCAAUGUUUCGCUGCUUCAGCUUUUAGUCUUUUUAUUCACCCUCAAUUUAAAAAAGCUGGUUUUAGAGUAUUUACCAAACCCUAAAAAGACCGCAACUUUUUUUCAUACCUGCAUAUUUUUUUUUUUAAAUUUCAGCAGUACCAAACUGGUACUAAGAGCCCCAGACUUUCUUUAAUUACACUAUAUUUGUGUUACACCUUUACAAGAGUGGUAUUUAAUCAAUCACAUAAACAUGUACCUAACAAAUAAUAUAGGGCAUUCAAUAUGGAUAUGAAAAACUGCAACAAAUUUCAAUGUUAAUCCAGGUGUGUGUAGGAGCGAUAUGUUUGUAACUACCUCCAGGGUAUAUGUAAGAUGGCUUAUCAGAAAUUGGAAACCAAAAUAGCUCCCUUAAUUGAUUAGGGGCUAUAUCUAUGAUGGCUUAUCAGAAUUUUUUAUCUAUACUUAUGCUUUGCACUUCGAAAACUAGCUAGUUAUUUCUCUUUGAUUUUGUUAUUAUAUCUUGUUGUAUUUCUUGGGUAUUUAAUGUUCUUCACAAUAUUCACUUUACAAAGUUCAAGCUCUAGUCAAAUUUGAUUUACUCAUCCUUCUGUUCUAAACGCAGGUUUUCUAUUGUUCGUACUCUUUUGUUUUGGUAAGAGCUUUGCUAAUAUCUAUGAUAUCCAAUAUUGAGCAUAUAGUUUGAUCCAAGGCAACAAGUCAAUUUCUUUUCUCAUGAUGUAUUUUGUGAUUUACUCCAAUGUUCAGGACUACUUUUCGGGGUAAAAUUUCUAUUCGGGGCACCAUUCGUGACUGCGUUUUUGAUCUAUACAUGGAAAAGAAGACAUUUGUCAAUGUACAACUCCAUAGAAGAAUUUUUGCAUGGUGAAAAGACUUUAGUGCCAAUAAGGUACUCGUACUCGAACAUCAAGAAGAUGUCUAACAAAUUUAAAGAAAAACUUGGUGAAGGAGGGUAUGGAUCAGUUUUUAAAGCAAGGUUACGGAGUGGACGUUUUGGGGCAAUUAAGAUGUUGGAUAAGCCCAAAGGCAAUGGACAAGAUUUCAUCAGCGAGGUAAAUACUAUUGGGAGGAUUCACCAUGUUAAUGUGGUUCAGCUUGUUGGUUAUUGUGUUGAAGGAACAAAGCAUGCUUUGGUAUAUGACUUCAUGCUCAACGGAUCUCUUGAUAAAUACAUUUAUUGCAAAGAAGGAAGUAUCCCAUUAAGUUGCAAGACAACGUACGAGAUUUCUCUUGGAGUGGCUCGAGGGAUCAAAUAUCUACAUGAAGAUUGUGACAUGCAAAUAUUACAUUUUGACAUCAAGCCUCACAACAUUCUUCUUGAUGAGAAUUUCAUACCGAAGAUUUCUGACUUUGGGCUUGCAAAAUUAUACCCGGUGGAUAAUAGUAUUGUAUCUCUAACAGCAGCAAGGGGUACAAUGGGAUACAUGGCUCCUGAGCUAUUCUACAAGAAUAUUGGCGGUGUUUCGUUUAAAGCCGAUGUUUAUAGUUUUGGAAUGUUGUUGAUGGAAAUGGCAAGCCGAAGGAAGAAUUUGAAUGCAUUGGCAGAGCAUUCAAGCCAACUUUACUUCCCUUCAUGGGUUUACAAUCAAUAUAAUGAAGGAAAGGACUUCGAGGUGGGAGAAGUUGUGGAGGAGGAAAAACCAUUAAUAAGAAAAAUGAUUAUAACCGCCUUGUGGUGUAUACAAUUGAAGCCAAGCGAUCGACCUUCAAUGAAGGAAGUCCUACAGAUGCUCGAAGGAGAUGUUGAAUUACUUCGAAUGCCUCCGGAGCCUCUUCUAUAUCCCAAGAGAUGCCCGUAGGUGCUCCUAAUGAUAAUCCGAAUCCAACAUAUUCGAAGGUGGAGUUAACAUCUUCUUUGACGGGUAGGUGAAGACACGCAACUAGCAUGGACUCUGUCAGUUUGAAUCUCAAUGCAAUGUUUCUGGUUUUGUAGUAGUACUGUGUGCAUGAUAAAACCCCCUUUCAUUGAUGUUAAAUAUGUUUAGUACAACAUAUUUUCAUGAUUCCAGGGAUAAAUAACAUAUUUCAUGGAGGACAUGUUGUAUGAUUCAUGAAGACGAUAUUUUCUAAUUUUUGUUCCAAGAAAUUAUUAGUUGUGAUGAUUGUUCGCUCGUGCUGAUAAUUCUGGUUCUAAUGGGCUCAUGCCGGCUGCUCUUACAUAUCUCCGGUUGUUAUUUGUCCGUGGAGGGAGGGACCUCCCUAGUCAAUAUCGAAAACAUUUUUUUUCUUGUGAAUACAACGAUAUAUUUACACUAAGGGGGAGUGGGUCGCCUAAGCCAUACAAUGGACAAUCUAAUUUGCUAUCCAAUUUGUCAUCUACAAGAUUUAAACUUAAGAUCUCUCACUUGCAAGUGAAGAGGAAUAUCAUCAUAUGUAGUAUUGAGUGGCAAUAUUCGAAACCUUUUAGUUGGGUGGCAAUAUUCGAAACCUUUUAGUUUGCCAAGUCAUUUCUUGGUUAGAAGUUUUUUAAGAAAGUUGAGGUUCCACCCCAAAAUCAAUUGGCAAUAUGAGAGUAGUCUAAUUACUUAUAAGUACAUGUAAGGUCCCUUCUUUCUCUAAUGUGGAAUUCACUUUCAAAAAAUAUUUUGUCUGAGAAUCCCUCCUUUUGUAUUUGAAAUGCUGCCUGCUCUGUACUGUGCAACCAGUUUAUAGCCUUGGUGGAGGACUUAGCCUUCUCAUUAUAAUUUCCUAUGAUACUUGAACGUAAUGUCUAUCACUUGCUGGAGCAUCAUUGUAAUUGUAAGCCAAAUGGAAGAUUUGUUGAUCACAGCCUUGGUGAAGAUAUUCAAUUCCUUUGGCAAAUGGCUAGAUCUUGCAUCCCAACCAAGAAAUUUGUUGUUAUUGUCUGCUGAUGAAAUGAAAUCAUGCAGUGAUCUAUUGAACAGCAGUUCGUCUAAAUCCAUAAACGCAGAAGCCAACCAAGGGAAUAGCAUGGUUGAUAUGACCCAUUGUUCCCCCUUUAUUUAUGAACUCUUCUCCAUCUCCCCUUCCAAUUGUAUAAUAUCAUAUGGUUUACCAUAUCGUAUUUCGGUCACAAGUGAGAUAAUUAAUCUCAAUUCGAACUUAGCGAUUAAUAUAAUGAUAAUUUUUUUUUCAUGAUCAGGAUUUUCAGCCUGGAGAGACAGUAAGAAGUUUGCCACACUGCCAUAACAUAUUUCACCUGCCUUGUAUAGAUAAGUGGCUCCUAGGGCAUGCCUCAUACCCUCUCUGCGUAAGGGAUUUGUGAAUGUGAUGAUCUUCUUGUAGAUUACCAAAUGAGUAAAAAGUUCAUUUAUUGAUUAUACAAAUUUUUUAUCCUUUUCAUUUGUAUUGGUAUUCACCAGACUGCUCUAGGAUGAGCAAAAUACUCAUAGGUUUGGGUAACCAUGUUUACCCGUCCAUUUAAAGUUCACGGUUAUGGUUAUGGGUAACCAUUUAGACGAACAAACGGUUAUGAGUAUAACCGUUUAUUUUUGAAAUUUAAAUGGGCUGUUAUGGAUAUUACCGACUGUUAUAAUGGGUAUCUAUUGGUUAUGGGUAUUAUCCACGAUUAUACGGGUAUCCAUUUACCUAUUUAAUUUAAUAUAUAUAAAAAUAAAAAUAAAAUUAUCGCAGGGAUUUUGAGGGGUUUUAGAAGUAGCUCCUAUCGCAGGGAUUUUGAGGGAUUUUAGAAGUAGGCUCUCUCUCUCUCUCUCUCUCUCUCUCUCUCUCUCUCUCUCUCUCUCUCUCUCUCUCUCUCUCUCUCUCUCUCUCUCUCUCCCUCUCCCUCCUCUGGUCCUGACCCUCUCCUUCCCAGCUCCACUGCAGGGAUUUUAAUUAUCACAGGGAUUUUGGGUAUGCUAAAAUUCUAAGUACAGGUUCAUGGUGUAGGCUCCGGCCAUGAACUCUUUCUUGCAAAGUGCAAAUGCAAUAACAACAUAUAUAUAUAUAUAUAUAAAUACAAAUUACACAAUAUAAUUAAUCAAUUAAAAUACACACAAUCAUCCAGUUGAUCUGGUCACCAUGUCUGUAUGUGCUAUCAAUAGAACAUUUGUGACUUGCCAUCUUGAUAGUUGAUACGAUGAUAUAUCACUUUGUGAAUAUGAUCUCGUAAACUAUCAUUUCAAUUAUUGAAAUUGUAUGAGGACUUGAAUGAUUAAAAUAUAGAAAUGCAUGCUAAAAUGUACCUAUAACGGUGCUUAAUUGUCAGAAAACGAAAAUUAUGAUAAAUUUUUCUUUUGUAAUUUUCAAGUUGUUAGAAAAAAAACAUGUAGACGGAUGAAAAAGGGUAAAUGGGUAAAAAAAAAGAAGGAUAAAUAGGUUCAAAAACGGGUAAUUGGUUAUGGUUAUGGUUAAAUGGGUAAAUGGUUAUGGUUAAAUAGGUACAUGGUUAUGGGUAUGGAUAACCAUUUAUAAACGGUUAUGGUUAUGGGUAUAACCGUUUAUGCAAUUAUCUAACAGAUAAAUGGUUAUGCGGGUAUGAAUAUAAACGGUUAUGGGUAAAUAACUACAGUUACCUACCCGCCAUAAUCGUUGCUCAUCCCUAGAUUGCUCCAGUAGCUGCAGGUUGGUUCAUUGGAACUGAUUAUUUUGGUUUUGGCACAAUCUGAUAUUUAAUGUGGUAGUAUGUGAUACUAAUAACACACUAUUUUUGAAACCGAAAACCAAAAUAAUUCACACUAUUUCUAGAACUACAACGAAAUAACCCUCACUAUUUCUGAAACUGAAUCAAAAUAAUCAUUGGAAACUACAAUAAAAUAACCCCCACUAUUUUUGAUACUUGUUGUAUUGAUGGUUUUGUUGGGUUUUUAGUUCUUUGAUGAUUUUUUAUUGUAAAUGGCUUCUCAUCAGAAAUUAUUAAACACCGGAUUUGCUAUUUUGGUUGCGUAGCUAUGCAGUUGCUCUCUCCAAUCCAUCUAUCAGUCCACUUGAUUGCUUGGAAUAAUUUGAAGGUAGUUAAUUAAAUUACUUUGCUUCUUUUUCGAUCGACUAUAUAUAUUAGUGCUAGUUGCCUUGGUUAAGACUUUGAACCAGGGUUGGAUGAAGUGAUGGAGGGAGGCAGACAAUGGUGACAUACGGUGGGGAUGGGCGGAGGGGUCGGAUGACGGGUCGUGGACUAAGAAAACGGUGCCCAUUAGUGCUCCCUUGCCUAAGACUUUAAGGGCCCUGACAGUCACCAGCGAGAUCGAGCUCCGGCGAGGUUGGAUGGUGAAUGCGGGGAUAUGGAAAAUGCAGAAAGUGAUUUAAAUUUUUUUUUAUUAUUAAUAUAAUUCUUGUCGAUUUUAUCCGACAGGAAAUGCUUUUAUUUGUUCAUUAGUAAUUUAUUCCUGUCGGUUUUAUCCGACAUGAAAUGGUUUUAUUUGUGCAUUUUUAAUUAAUUUCUGUCGAAUGGUUUAAUCAUUUUCUGUCGGUUUUAGCCGACAAAAAUAAUUUAUUUAUCCGACAUAAUUUCUGUCGAUUUUAGAGUAUUUUCUGUCGGAAAAUUAAUUUCCUGACGCAGGCAAUUCUGUCACUUAUUAUAUCCGCCACUGCAUCCAUUUUCUGUCAGAUUUUACUUAAAAUUCGACAUAAAUAUAUGUUUUUUGUCGGUUUUCAAAACGUCAUUAAUAACUGGUUUCCUAGUAGUGUCAGUUGGGCAUGGAACCGUUAAUUGUACAUCUCAAAUUUCACUUUCUUUGUAACCAUAAUUUCUGACAUUAAAGGAAAAACUGUACAAAUCAUUCUCACCACAUCCAGAAUUAGCCUACAAAUAACUCCAUAUUACACCGAUAAGUGUACCAGGGAUGGCCGUAAAUCCCAUCAUCCACUUUAGGAGAUUUUUUCUUAAACGACCAUUGGGGCAUAAUAUUUAAUUAUCACAUGGAAACAACUUUUUUUAUAAAGGAAAACUAAUGAAAAAGUCUUGAAAACUUUGAGUUUUAACGAUAAGGACAAAAUAAAGAGUAAAGUGAAUAGUAUAAGGAUUGACUUUUUAGUGUAAAAAUAUGGUUUUUCGUUAAAGUGAACAGUACCGGGAGUUUUUUGUUAAAGUUCUCUUUUUAUAAAGCAAGGGUAAGUUGCGUCCGUUAGAUAUUCACCUCGACCUUCGUAAAGCGAUGAACCUUGUUGGCUAAUUAAGCAUCAUAAUGAGCUAAUAAUAAUAUGGUUUAAAUUCACCUUCGGUGAGAAUCGAACAUAAGACCUCUCAAUUACAAAUGAAGAGGAAUACCACUAGACCGUAAUACUAAGUAACAAUUUUUGAGCAAUAUUAAACAUACUACAAUGUGUGUGUAUAUAUAUAUAUUAACAAACGAUAUUAUUUAUACUAAAGGGAGGGGUUAGACUUAACCUCAUAAUAAGCUAGCAAUAAUGUGGUUUAAAUUCUCAUUUAUCAAGAAUUGAACCUAUGACCUCUCAAUUACAAGUGAAAAAGAUUACCACUAAUUAUUCGGAUAUUAAAUAUACAAUGCACUUGUCCUAAAUUAAUUAAUAUAAGAGACCUUUUGAUAUAAUUGAUAAAAAAAAAAAAAAAGGUAGCCGAUCUGCGACGAUUCCUUUAUCUCUUUCCCCUAUCUGUGAAAUCCCAACCCUAGCCCCAAUUUCUGAAACUCUCCAUCUCUCUCCUCCAUGCCCUUUCUAUCUGCUUUCUCGGUUACUCCUGUUGUGGUUCAUGAUGUUGUUCAAGCCAACGUGUCUUUGACAGCUGUGAGUGGAUCGAAAUUCAGAAAUCUCAUAUCUACUUUCUGAGUGGCUCGCCUACUACUAUAUUAAGUGGGUCCUACAUAUAUUUUUAUUAGAAAAUUAGAUUUUAAUCCCUAAAUAAGAAGAAGUUUAGAAAAAUGUUUUAUACAAGAUUAAAAAUUGAUUUUAGUCCCUAGACUCUAUUUAAUGCCAACAAUUGUUUUUAAUGUCUCUUUUUUUAUUUAUAAUUUUAUGAAUUUAAAUUUUAUGAAAAUAUGAUAAAUUUUAAUUCUCAUUAUGGUAAACAUCUUAUAUAAGAAAAUAUUUUCGUAGAAAUUUUUCGGUACACUUAUGUUUUUGCAUAUUUUCUUAUCUGCCACUAAUUCAUUACAAUAUAUUUAGGUACGAACAUUUCGGUACACUGGGUUAGUAUAAUAUGUUUAGGUACAUACAUUUCAGUACACUAGUUUAGUAUAAUGUAUUUAGGUAUCAACAUUUCGGUACACUAGUUUAGUAUCAUAUAGUUAGGUACAAAAUUUUUGGUACACUUAUGUUUUUAUGUCACAUCCCGGCCCGAGUCCUCACCACAUCCCAAGCUCGACUUCACCGUAGCACUAUAUUGUCCACUUUGGGCAUCGACCAUACCCUUACGGUUUUGUCUCUGGGAACUCACACGAGAACUUUCCAAUGGGUCACCUAUCAUGGGAUUACUCUCGCGCGAACUCGCUUAACUUCGAAGUUCCAAUGGAACCCGAAGUCAGUGAGCUCCCAAAAGGUCUCAGGUAGAGAUGAGAAUAUAUAUAUAAGGCAUAGAUAAUCCACUCCCCUGGGCGAUGUGGGAUCUUACAAUCCACCCCCUUAGGGGCCCGACGUCCUCUUCGGCACACUUCCAGCCAAAGAUUGGCUCUGAUACCAAAUUGUCACAUCCCGGCCCAGGCCCCCACCACAUCCCAGAUUCGACUCCACCGUAGCACGAUAUUGUCUUCUUUGGGCCCCAACCACAUCAUCACGAUUUUGUUUUUGGGAGCUCACAUGAGAACUUCCAGUGGGUCACCCAUCAUGGGAUUGCUCUCAAGCAAACUCGCUUAACUUCAGAGUUUCUAUGGAACUCGAAGCCAGUGAGCUCCCAAAAGGUCUUGUGCUAGGUAGAGAUAAGAAUAUACAUAUAAGGCAUAGAUGAUCCACUCCCCUGAGUGAUGUGGGAUCUCACAUUUUACAUAUUUUCUUAUGUGUCACUAAUUCACUACAAUAUGUUUAGGUACGAGCAAUUCAGUAUACUAAUUUAGUAAAAUGUAUUAUGAUACAGACAUUUAGGUACACUAAUUAGAUAAGGUUAAAUACAAUUAAUGAAUUAAAAUGUGUAUAAUAAUAAAUUAAAAAAUUCAAUGUAAUAACAUUAAAUAAAGAAAAUUGUUAUUAGCACUCAAAAAAUCUCAUUCUAUACUACUUACAAAUGUAUUUAUCUUUCUAAUUAUGAAAGUUUGAAGUACCAAAUGAGAUUUUAGGAUGCUAAUAAUAAUUCCUUAAAUAAAUUAUCUAUUAUAUACAAAAACAAAAAUAUAAUAUGAAUUUGAAUUAGGUACACAUUAAGGGAUUAAAACCAAUAUUCAAUCUAAUACCAUAAUUUUAUUAAAUUUUAAUCUUCUUGAAAAUUUAAAGUUCAUAAACCCCUAUUUUUAUUCCUCCAAUGUUAGCAAACACUUCAAUCACUGGAAGAAGUGCAAUUCCAAUUUCUUACAUUCAAUUCCCCUUACGUAAACACGUUAUUAAUCAGGUCAACAUGCAAGGAGGAGGGAGAGUUUGAAAAGAAAAAAAAGGGACGGAAAAAAGAAAUGGGACAGAAAAAAUAGAGAGAAAAUGUCUUGAUGGAAAGAAGAAAAAAGAAAAAAAAACAAAGAGAAAGAGGAGAGAGAGAGAGAGAGUCUGAUUGAAGGAAGAAAAAUAAGAGAAAAAGAAGAGAAAAAAAAAAGGGAAAGGAAGAAAAGGGAAAGGAAGAGAGAGACAUAUGUAGAGAAGAAAAAGAGAGAAGGAAGAGAGAACAGGACCGAAAAAAAAAAAGAGAAAGGGACGGAAAAAAAAAGCAAAGAAAAAGGAGAGAAAAAGAGAGGGAAGAGAGGAGGGGACCAGAAAAAACAGAGAAAAGACGGAAAAAAAAAAGCAAAGAAAAAGGAGAGAGAAUCUGCUGGAAAGAAGAAAAAGAAGAGAUAAAAAUGAGAAAAAGGGGCGGACAAAAACAAAGAGAAAGGAAGCAAGAGAGAGAGAGAGAAUGAAGGAAAGAAGAAAAAGAAGAGAGAAGGACGAAAGAAAGGGAGGGGAAAAAGAGUUUGAUGGAAAGAAGGAAAAAAAAGAUGAGGAAGAGAGAAGGGGACGGGAAAAAAACAAAGAGAAAGGAAGAGAGAGUUUGAUGGAAUAAGAAAAAGAAGACAGAAGGAAGAGAGAAAGGACGGAAAAAAUGGGGAAAGGACGAGAGCAUGAUGGAAAGAAGAAAAAGAAGAGCUACGGUGCAUGGAAAAAAGAAAAAAACCAAAGAGAAAGAUGAGAGAGAGAGAGAGAGUCUGAUGGAAGGAAGAAAAAGAAGAGAAAAAGAGACAUAUGUAGAGAAGAAAAAGAGAGAAAGAAGAGAGAACAAAAAGAAGAGAAAAAGAGACAUAUGUAGAGAAGAAAAAGAGAGAAGGAAGAGAGAACAGGACCGAAAAAAAAAGGAUCGGAAAAAAAAAAGGAAAACUAAUAAAAAGGGAUUGAAAAUUUUGAGUUUUAAUGAUAAAGAUAAAAUAAAGGGUAAAUUGAAUAGUAUCAAGAUUGACUUUUUAGUGUAAAAAUGUGGUUUUUCGUUAAAGUGUAAAAAAAAAAGAACGGAAAAAAAAGGCAAAGAAAAAGGAGAGAGAAAAAGAGAGGGAAGAGAGAAGGGGACCAGAAAAAACAGAGAGAAAAGACGGAAAAAAAAAGCAAAGAAAAAGGAGAGAGAGAAUCUGCUGGAAAGAAGAAAAAGAAGAGAUAAGAAUGAGAAAAAGGGGCGGACAAAAACAAAGAGAAAGGAAGCAAGAGAGAGAGAGAGAGAGUGAAGGAAAGAAGAAAAAGAAGAGAGAAGGACGAAAGAAAGGGAGGGGAAAAAGAGAGAGAGAGUUUGAUGGAAAGAAGGAAAAAAAAAAGAUGAAGAAGAGAGAAGGGGACGGGUAAAAAACGAAGAGAAAGGAAGAGAGAGUUUGAUGGAAUAAGAAAAGAAGAGAGAAAGGACGGAAAAAAUGGGGGAAAGGACGAGAGCAUUAUGGAAAGAAGAAAAAGAAGAGCUACGGUGCAUGGACAUGAUGGUAUUAUUCCUGUGUCGCAUUUUUUUGGUCAUAAAAUAAUUUCUUUUGUUAAUUUGACGUAUACUCGUAUCAUGUUCUGUCAUAAUUCUGUGUCCGCAACCAUGCAUCAUAAAAGAACAAAGAAGGAAGAUAAAGGGAUGGAGGAAGGAAGAGUGAGAGAGAGACAGAGAACCGCUGCAGUUGUUCAGAAAGUGGUGGGUUGAGUUUUUAUUUUUGUGAAAUGAUUAGUUAAUAAAAUCUUUGAGAUUUAACAAAGAUUUAAUAUUUAUUGUUGGAGAUGCUCGAGUCAUCAGAAAUGGACAAUACUUAGUACUGACUGUUGAGUACCCAAAAUAUUGACCUAAUGACAUGCCUAGAAAUAUUAAAACAUCUUUCAUUUAAAGCUCUCCCCAAACAUUUGUGGUCUUGUUAACCAAACACCUAACUUUCAUCCUGAGCUCAUAACCAAACACCCAUCUUCUUCCUAUUUGUUUGAGUAAAUUAUAGUUGUGAUCCCUAAACUAUGACUGAACUAUGGUACCUCAAUUAAAAAUUUAUUAGUUUUGGUUCUUUAAUUUGACAAAAGGUGUAACAUUGGUCAUUCCAUGCUAACUAUUAAGUUUUCUGUCAAAAUGAUGACAUGGUAGGCACAUGGAACCCAUGAUUAAUAUUAUAAUAUGAAAAUUUAAAACAUAGAAAAUUAAAAAAAAAAAAAUCCUUUAUCUCCUUCACUAGUAACAAUGACGCCAACACCAAACCUUGUACUUAAUUUUCUCUAUCCUACAAACCUCGUACCCAAUUCCCUCUUCAAAAUCCAAUCAGAACUUUAAUACCAAAACUCAUCGCAAGCAUCAUACCCACCGCUACAUUUGGUGCAGGAUUGGUUAUAGAAUGCGACUGGAAUGUUGGGGGUGGGACUACGAUGGUGAAGGGUCGGUUGUGGCGUGCGGUUGAGAGAGAUAAAAAAGUGAGUGUUGCGAAUUGGGGAAGAUAGGGCUGGACACGGGUUGGGCCGGGCCCGAUUUUGAAAGGAUCAGACUAGACUCAGGUGCAAAAGAGACUGGCGGGGUCGGAGAUAACAUAUUUUAAUAAAGGAACCGGACCUAACCCGGCCUGGUUGAAAUGAGCUGGGGCCACAAGUCCUUUUUUUUUUUUUUUUUUUUUUUUGCGAAACUGCCACCUUCUUCGACAUCUCCACCUCCCUCCUCCAAGGCUAUGCCAUCCUCGCAAUCCUUGCAGCAAAAAUGCAGAGAAAAUUAGCAAAACCCAGAUUGGGGGUUGGGGCUAAAAGCUAAAAAUGCAUGAUUUGUGGAAAACCUAGCUGGGAUUAAGAACUUGAAGAAGAAGAAGCAGAAUGUUUGGGGAGAGAGAGGGAGUCCCGACCCUCUACGUCACCUACGACCACAACAUCCAUUCUGCCAACCCUUUUAGCCGACGCCACGAGCGAGUCCCGAUCAAGCCCUUCUACAACUCAAUGAACUCACCCAUCGAUUUCGUCCCUGCUGUCAACUUCCUUGACGACCGCUACUUCUCUGACGUUGACGAAAAGAUUGAGGCAAGGAGGGAGACGUUGAGCGGUCAAGCUCCCCGAUUUGAGAGGAAGGAGAUUGAGAAUCGACAGGAGAGGAAUGGGAAAAUGUUACAAACAAGCCGGUCCGGGUACCUUUUUUUUUAUACUUCUUGAACCGGCCCACCCCUAAAAUUUCAAAGCCCCGCCCUGCCCUGCCUUGUUUCUCUUUUUAAAAAUUAAAAACCAGCCCGUAUCCUCCUCGAACUGUAAUUACCCGCCCCAAACUGUGAUUACCUGCCCCGACCCACGGUUCAUGUACCUAUUUGCCCACCCCUAGGGGAAGAUGGAAGUAAGGCGUGAGGUAUGGUGGGACAACACCCAUCUCGAACAUUUCUUUUUAUUUUUUAUGCCAAUAGUUUAAAGUGUUUUGUUUCAAUUCUUAUAAGUGAAUAAUGUGAAUGCAAAUUUUCGCCGUUUCUUUUUUUGACAAAAAUGCACUUAUAAAAUAAUAACACAUAAGAUUAAGACCAAAAGCCUCACGCGCUUAGGUAGGCCUGGCUGGUGACAAUGCUGCUUAGGAUGGGGCAACUGUAGAUGAAGUGCAGGAGGUUGAUGUUGCUGAGAGAGAUGCGGCUGCUAAAGAUGUCCAAGUUGUUGAGGAGUAGUCUUUCUAGAUAAACUUUAGGAUUUACUGUCUUUUCCUUUCCUUUCCUUGAACUCUGUUGGCCUUCGUGCCAGUUUACCAAUUUGCUAGAAAUUAAUAAACUGUUUUUCUUCGCUUUACUUCAUUCUCAUCUUUUUGCCUUGCUUCAAACUUUUGCCGUAAAAUGAACAAUUGAGCAAGCUGCUUUGAACAAAGCAGUUAAGCACAUCUCCCUUGCUUUAGGAGCAACGUCCCAUUCAUUGCUCAAUAGUUUGGUUGACAAGUGAGAUCUCGCGGAAAUGUAAAAAAUCACUACAUAAAGAUUGUCUGUUGCAAUCUCCAAUAGUGUCAUACAUGUAAUCAUGAUUGCUCUGAGCACUCAACGAAAGAAACAUUUAGGGAAAAUUAUGUGAUGAUGUAGUUGAACCAUGUCUUAUUUUGGCACCAAUAAUCUGAGAGAUAUUCUUUUGUUUCUACUAUACUCAAUUACUUGACUAAUUUUAUAACACUUUUUAGGUGACUAAUGAGUAAAUCUAUAUAUCUAGAGGGAACAACAAAUUUGCGAGUUUAAUAAUGUCAUAGACAGAACAAGAUAUGGUUAGAUGAAACGGCAAUUUGCUCGUGGAUCCAAUAUAUAACUCAUAUUAGUGAAAAGCUGACUGUGCCACGUGCGCUUAGGCAAGUGGCUCUAUUGGGAUUAGGAUCCUAGCCCGAUCAUUUUGUAGAGAUUCGGAUGAUCAAUCAAUUGUGUUUAUUCAUCGUACAUCGUGUAAUAAUAAAAUAUUUUAAAUUUUUUAUUUAAAAUUAAAUACAAACAAUAUUUAAUGAAACUGACCGCACAAUAUACGAUGAAUGAGCAUGAUUAAUUGAUCAUCUAGAUUUUCACAAAAAGAAUAUGAAGAGGAUCCUCAUCCCUCUUAUUUACCUUGUACUAGUCAGAAAAUCCGAGUCUAUUGGAAAUUGAGUUAUUUACUUGAAAAAAGAAGAAUGAAUUGAUUUAAUUUUUUUUUUUUUUUUUUUGUCAUUAGUUAAAUUUGGGGGUGGGGGGAUUCGAACCUUGGAUGAGGUGGGAGUUUUCUUGGCUCUAGUGCCACUGCACUAGGCCUCCAUCCUCGAUUUAAUUUUUAUUGACAUGCAUACUUUAUGGGGUCAAUAGUGAUGGAUGUACCGGUCAAUGGUAAGAGUCCACUUUACUUGGACAUCUUUGCUUUAUCCCUUGCUGGUCAAUGGUAAGAGUCCACUUUUUUUUUUAAACCAGUAAGAGUCCACUUCACUUGGACAUCUUUGCUUUGAGUGGAAGACCUUGAAUCGUUCGAUUUAUAAAGACUGGAUCGAAACCUCAUGGAAAGUUUGAAAAGAAUUACGAUCUAGGCAAAAAAAAAAAAAAAAAAAAAAAGAGUGAGAGAGAGAAAAAAAUUUACACUCAAGGCACAAUGGGUUGAAGAAGAAGACCUUAUUACUAAAACAAUCCAACACUUGCCAAUAGUUUUCUUUUUAGUAGUUUAUUUAUUUCCUCAUAUAAAUCAAUGUGUAAUCACCAUUAUCUUAUUUGAUUUUGAUUGAGGUAUGUAUUAAACUUGAGACGUAUUUCGACAUUCUAGAAGAGAUAUGACUAGACCAAUCUCUCUAGUUGGUAACGUCACUCAUCCUAAAGUGAUUGUUGUUCAAGAAAAAGUGAAUUUUCACUAAUAAUUCAUCAUUCCAAUAUCCACAUCGUGCAAUUAUCGCCCUCAAUAUGUAAAAGUACUCGGAAAAAAAAGAAAGAAGAAGAAUGCUACAAAAACAUAUCAAUUUGAAUGGGAAACUGAGUCUUCCCGGCCCUAGGAAGGGGUGGAUAAUCGUGGCUUGCCACUAGUUGUUUUUUUUUUUUUAAAGAAUGGGAAACUGAGAACCUAGAAACUUUGAAGGAUCAUAACUAAGCAAGCAUGGCAACAAUAUGUCUAUCGAAGCUAGUUAAGAACUGUGGUGUAAGAACUUGAGGAAAGAUUUUUGCAUAAAAGUUUUAUGGAAAAGUAAUGCAUAUGGCCAGGCCAGACAUUGGUUUCAAGUGAAAAACCAAGCAAUCCAACAAACCUCGAAUGUAAUUACGUAGUCGGACAAACACCUCGAGCUAUCGAGCACAUAUGGUACUUAGGUACAAUGGUUACACUUCUCAGGAGUCCUUAUUAACAUACAUAAGUGUGUGCGCACAUAACUAUCUAUAUAUCUAAGUAGAUAUGUUACUCUAAUUCAGCAAUAGCUUCUAACUGAAUGUUUAGAUUUCUUGCAGGUGUAGUUGCAUUUGUUCGUGCAGGACCUGUAGAUGCAAAAGGAUUGGGAGGCAUGGUUAAGUUUUCUCCUCCUUCCAGCAUUUGAACAACUUCUUUCAUGGAAGGACGACCCGCUGGAUGCCACUGGAUGCACCAGAGCCCUACAAUUGCGAGUUUCUUUGGAGUUUUACCAUCUCCUUCCUCCCCAAGAUGGAUUCGUAGGUCGUCUCCUUCUUCUAGGAGAUUAUAGAUCCAUUCUGGAUAGUAAAUUUCAGUUGGGAUUGCUGAGGUUGAAUCAAUAUUCUUCCUUCCCCCUACCAUCUCAAGCAGCAGCAUUCCAAAACUAUAGACGUCCGACUUAUAGGACACAUUUCCAAAGUUCCUGGAGAACACUUCAGGUGCAAUGUAGCCCAUAGUCCCUCUAGCUGUAGUCAUGGACACUAUGCUUUGAUCCUUAGAACACAACUUGGCCAAACCAAAAUCAGAAAUUUUUGGAGUGAAAUUGUCGUCUAAUAAAACAUUAUGAGGCUUGAUGUCGAAAUGGAGGAUUCGUUGCUCACAUUCCUGAUGAAGAUAAUAAAUUCCCUUGGCUACAGCAAGAGCAAUAUCUUGCAACUUGUCCCAACCAAGGAAACGAUUGUUAUUGUCUGCCGAUGAAAUGAAAUCGUGCAGUGAACCAUUGGCGAAGAACUCAUAAACGAGAGCUCUGUUAAACCCAUCAGCACAGAAACCAACCAAACGAACCACGUUGACAUGGUGGAUACUUCCCAUCAUUCCAACUUCCCUUAUGAAAUCUUCCCCAUUUCCGUUGGAACUAUUGAGAACUUUUACAGCAACAAAGCAUUCAGAAGAAAGUUUUCCUUUGAAAACAGUUCCAUAGGCUCCUUGGCCUAACUUGUCCUGGAAUUGGUUUGUGAUCCUCUUAAUAUCUGCAUAGGAAUACCUGCUUGGUUUCUGAGCGUUGUAAUCUUCUAAAAACUUUUCAAUCUUCAAUUGACUCUCCUUUUCUUUUCGAUUAGACCUAUAGACACGAUAGGCUGCAACGACCAGCAGAAGUAAUACAACAAAUGAUCCCAGGGUUGUACCUGAAUCAAACAAAUCCUUGAGUAAAUAAUAAUAUUCCCGACGGUCUAGCUAGACAUGAAAUAAAAUAAAAAACCGUCAGACUACUCACCACCUACGGCGGCAAAUUUCCAUGUUACACCUGAAAAAAGCAUUGACAAAUUUAGUAAUAGUGAUGAUCUACUGCUCGGGCAAAUUUAGUAAUAGAAGAAAACAAAUUACUCUUUGCCUAUUCAUUUGAAAUUCAUAUCAAAUGCGUUGCAUCUAGUUGUUUGAAAUAUGUUCAGUCGGAUGCUUACUAGAUAAGUAAGCAGCAAGUGCAAUAAUAUAGCAGAAUAUAUGUAAAAUAAAACCAAGAUUGAAAAUGUAGGCAGACUUACUAGGUUUGCUCAAGCGAACACAUUGAAUUUCAGUGUUGGUGUGGUUGUACUUGAUUCUACACUUGUUGCCCUCUGCCUCACACUCUCUACAAUUUGGUUUCUUCCAUUUCAAAUUAGGAACCUCACUAUAAUAAUAGUACAUCUGUGGAAUCGACAAAACAUCGUACAUCUUUGUACACGACUCUAGGAGCGGAUAGUACAUAGUUUCGUAGGAAGAUUCAAUGGCAUAAACUCUGUAGCCAGGGCCACUAAUGCAGGGGACUUUAGCACCGUCUAACUCUCUUUCAACAGGACAGUGGAAUAAGGUAGCGUUGGAAGGCAUGGAUUCUUGGAAGUAGAAUUGAGAGGCUGGCAAUGACAUGUUGAUGUUAUCAACUUCUAAAGGCUUUAACAGCAGGCAUUUACGCGGGUGAUAGACUUGGACUUCCUGAUGCUUGUAAUCUAUGCGCUUCACCAAGAAUUUCACCACUACCGCUCGGUGCUCCUGUCCGUAGUCAGCCUCAUUCGCAUGGCAAUCAGAUGUCGGACUACAGGGAUGUCCACGGCGAAACAGAAUAUGGAUGGCCUCGCCAUGAUCCCCGCAUUUGGAUUUUUCACAAGCAGAGGCAUUCUGGGUUGUUCCGAGCAAUGUUAACAAAGUAAUUGAGAAUAUGCGAACCCAAGAGAUAUUGAGCUGUUGCUGCUGCAUUUCUGAGGUAUUUUUUUUCCAAGGAGAAGAACAAAUAUAUGUUAAUAGUUUAACACAAAGACUUUGUAGAGUUCCUGACCAUAAAAUGCAAUUGAUCUACGGGUUAACCCCAAAGACCACGUCACGGAAGCCUAGAAAGUAUUUACUGUUUUGGUCAAUACUUAAUUCCACAGCGGAAAGAGAGAGCCAUUCCUCUUUACCUGCCACUUUCAAUCUAUACAACAACAACAACAAAGCCUUUUCCCACUAAGUGGGGUCGGCUAUAUGAAUCCUAGAACACCAUUGCGCUCGGUUUUGUGUCAUGUCCUUCGUUAGAUCCAAGUACUCUAAGUCUUUUCUUAGAGUCUCUUCCAAAGUUUUCCUAGGUCUUCCUCUACCCCUUCGGCCCUGAACCUCUGUCCCGUAGUCACACCUUCGAACCGAAGCGUCAGUCGGCCUUCUUUGCACAUGUCCAAAUCACCGGAGCCGAUUUUCUCUCAUCUUUCCUACAAUUUCGGCUACUCCUACUUUACCUCGGGUAUCCUCAUUCCCAAUCUUAUCCUUUCUCGUGUGCCCACACAUCCCACGAAGCAUCCUCAUCUCCGCUACACCCAUUUUGUGUACGUGUUGAUGCUUCACCGCCCAACAUUCUGUGCCAUAAAACAUCGCUGGCCUUAUUGCCGUCCUAUAAAAAUUUCUCUUGAGCUUCAGUGGCCUACGACGGUCACACAACACGCCGGAUGCACUCUUACACUUCAUCCAUCCAGCUCGUAUUCUAUGGUUGAGAUCUCCAUCUAAUUCUCCGUUCUCUUGCAAGAUAGAUCCUAGGUAGCGAAAACGGUCGCUUUUUGUGAUCUUCGCUAGAUUGCUCCGGUCAUUAGUGUGGAUAAGUAUAUAAAUGGAUAAAGAUAAGAAAGCAAACACAAGAUGUACGUGGUUCACCCAGAUUGGCUACGUCCACGGAAUAGAAGAGUUCUCAUUAAUUGUGAAGGGUUUACACAAGUACAUAGGUUCAAGCUCUCCUUUAGUGAGUACAAGUGAAUGAUUUAGUACAAAUGACAUUCGGAAAUAUUGUGGGAGAAUGAUCUCGUAACAUCUUCUCUGGAAGUACUCUUCCUCCAUCCAGGGGUGGUAUCUUUAACUGGUGGAGAUGCACAAGGUAAUGUAUCAAUUGCACUUGAAGCUUACUUGUAGUUUCAGGCUUGGUCAAGCGCGAUACAAACCAUGUAGUAGGAGUCCCCCAAGUCGCCGAGCUAGGGGGUCUGCUGAAAGAGGUGACAGACAAGGUAAGCAAUCAGAGCUCCGACUGAUUGUUCACCUUCUCCCCAUCUUGCAGCAGCAUGAAGGAUAAAGAGAAGAAAAAUGAGAAGAGAUGAUAUGAGAUACUUUUGCUUUUGAAGAAGUAACUUUCCACAGGCUUAUUCUUGAACUGAGCUGGAGGGUUUUUUGGUUUCCUCCAGAGUAUAAGGCCGACUGAAGAAUUUGAGGGUCAAAACAAGUCCAUCAAAUCUAGAGUACGUUCCACCCUGCUGAUAUGGGAUACUUUUGCUUUUGACAGAGUAAUGGAUGUAUCGGCACGUGUGCUGUUACGCUUGUCUCCACAUGCUUCCUUGUAUCCUUCGCACUUGCCCUAUCUGUUCCUCAAGCAGAUGCGGAAUCUUCCCUGGAAACAUAACAUGUUGAAGAUGAGUACUCGAGAGCAAUGCCAGGUAAGUAAUCAGGUAAGGGGUUCCAGGCAGUCAGUUCCUGGCUGGAAGCUUGAUUCCAAGUGCUGACUGAUUGCUCUCUUUCUCCUUGUCUUGCAGGUAAAAACAAGGUCAAAGGAAAAGACAGGGAAAAAGCAUGAUAUGGGAUACUCUUGCUUUUAACCCUGAUGAUAUGAGAUAUUCUUGCUCUAGUAUAGCUUGUUUGCAGAGGUAUUAUCGGGGGAAAGAAAAAGCUGAAUAUUUCGAAAGGCUUCGUUGGGAGUGCCCUCUCAGAUAUGAUGAAGGGUUGAGCAUUUUUGCAGGUCUGCCUGUCCGUUGGGGAUGGAAGUCGACAUAUAUAGGAGUCUCCCUAACAACAAGUAGUAAUGCUAUUCCUUUACCCUGCUUGGUCAUAGCACGGUAGUGGGAGCUGCUAGUUUCACAUGUUUUAACUCUGUCAGAGCACUUUGAAAAAGUGGCCUGUGGUAUCUGGCUCUCGAGAUUCGGAAAACGAUGCCUCUUCGAUUUUUGAGAAAGCAAUCAUGCUGGGGGUCUGGCUCUCGAGAUUCGGAGAGCAGUGUCUCUUCGAUUUUUGAGGAAGUAAUCAUGUUGGGAGUCUGGCUCUUGAGAUUCGGAGGGCGGUGCCUCUUCGAUUUUGGAGCAAGCAAUCCUGUUGGGAGUGUUGUCUCGAAUGUGAGUAAAGGUUGGGCAUGUUUGCUAGUCUACCUUGCCACGAAGCACAAAGGUUGACACACAGGGACUUUCCAAUUAUCCAGCAAUGGUACUGUUCCUUUACCCUCUCUUCGCUUUUGAGAAAGUAGUCAUGUUGGGAGUCUGGCUCUCGAGAUUCGGAGGACAGUGCCUCUUCGAUUUUGGAGCAAGCAAUCUUAUUGGGAGUGUUUUCUCGAAUGUGAGUAAAGGUUGGGCAUGUUUGCUAGUCUACCUUGCCACGAAGCACAGAGGUUGACACACAGGAACUUUCCAAUUAUCCAGCAGUGGUACUGUUCCUUUACCCUUAUGGGUAAUAAUAUGGUAGCUAGACCUUCAAAAUUUAUGUGUCUAAACUUUGUUAGUGCUGUUUCUUUGCUAUUCUUUUACCUUUCUUGGUCAGAGCGAUGUAGUGGGAGCUGCAAGCUUCACGUGCUCAACUUUGGCAGAGAACUUUGGCAAAGUUAUCUGUGGUACCCAUGAGCUAUUGUUGCGUGUGACAGGUGCUGACAAGGCUAGAAAAGUAGGUGCAUCUUCGAUUUCUGAGAUCGGCCCUCGUGGUCUCUGAGCAGCCCAGCUUUUGAGAAAGCGAGCGCCUCUUCGAUUGAUUCGGAGAACGAUGCCUCAUCGAUUUUUGAGAAAGCAAUCAUGCUGGGGUCUGGCUCUCGAAGAUUCGGGAAGCAGUGUCUCUUCGAUUUUUGAGAAAGUAAUCAUGUUGGGAGUCUGGCUCUCGAGAUUCGGAGGGCGGUGCCUCUUCGAUUUUAGAGCAAGCAAUCUUGUUGGGAGUGUUUUCUCGAAUGUGAGUAAAGGUUGGGCAUGUUUGCUAGUCUACCUUGCCACGAAGCACAGAGGUUGACACACAGGGACUUUCCAAUUAUCCAGCAAUGGUACUAUUCCUUUACCCUCUCUUCGAUUUUUAAGAAAGUAGUCAUGUUGGGAGUCUGGCUCUCGAGAUUUGGAGGACGGUGCCUCUUCGAUUUUGGAGCAAGCAAUCUUAUUGGGAGUGUUUUCUCGAAUGUGAGUAAAGGUUGGGCAUGUUUGCUAGUCUACCUUGCCACGAAGCACAGAGGUUGACACACAGGGACUUUCCAAUUAUCCAGCAGUGGUAUUGUUCCUUUACCCUUGUGGGUAAUAAUAUGGUAGCUAGACCUUCAAAAUUUAUGGGUCUAAACUUUGUUAGUGCUGUUUCUUUGCUAUUCUUUUACCCUUCUUGGUCAGAGCGAUGUAGUGGGAGCUGCAAGCUUCACGUGCUCAACUUUGGCAGAGAAACUUUGGCAAAGUUAUCUGUGGUACCCGUGAGCUAUUGUUGCGUGUGGGAAGUGGGUGAUUGAACAGUAAGAUUCAUGUGUUUUCUACUUCCCCAGAAGUCUUCGACAGAAUGCCCAUAAUUUCCGCAAAGCUGAGUGUGCGUGUGACAGGUGCUGACAAGGCUGGAAAAGUAGGUGCCUCUUCGAUUUCUGAGAUCGGCCCUCGUGGUCUCUGGGGAGCCCAGCUUUUGAGAAAGCGAGCGCCUCUUCGAUUUCUGAGAUCGGCCUUCGUGGUCUUUGAGCAGCCCAACUUUUGAGAAAGCAAACGCCUCUUCGAUUUCUGAGAUCAACCCUCGUGAUCUCUAAGCAGCCCAACUUUUGAGAAAGCAAACGCCUCUUCGAUUUCUGAGCAGGCGCCUCUUUCGAUUUCUGAAGCUCCGUCGAGUGCAGAUUUUUAUAGGGGCUGGCAUUAAGUUCCAAAGCACACUUGAAUCUCCACCAGUAGAAGCUUCCUUCUUGCACUUCUAAGAUCUUGAUUUGUCCGACCUCUUCUCUCUUCAACACCUUUGAAAAUGUCUGGCCCCUCCGAUCGUCGUUUUGACUUGAACCUUGUUGAAGAGGCAGCCCCGCCUUCUCCAGACAACAUAUGGCGCCCAUCCUUCGUCUCCCCUACUGGUCCUCUUACCGUUGGGGAUUCUGUGAUGAAGAAUGAUAUGACCGCUGCGGUGGUGGCCAGGAACCUUCUCACUCCCAAAGAUAACAGACUACUUUCCAAACGGUCUGAUGAGUUAGCAGUUAAGGAUUCGCUGGCUCUCAGUGUUCAGUGUGCAGGUUCUGUGUCUAAUAUGGCCCAACGCCUAUUUGCUCGAACCCGCCAAGUUGAAUCAUUGGCGGCUGAAGUGAUGAGUCUCAAACAGGAGAUUAGGGGGCUCAAGCAUGAGAAUAAACAGUUGCACCGGCUCGCACAUGACUAUGCUACAAACAUGAAGAGGAAGCUUGACCAGAUGAAGGAAACUGAUGGUCAGGUUUUACUUGAUCAUCAGAGAUUUGUGGGUUUGUUCCAAAGGCAUUUAUUGCCUUCGUCUUCUGGGGCUGUACCGCAUAAUGAAGCUCCGAAUGAUCAACCUCUGAUGCCUCCUCCUUCUAGGGUUCUGUCCAGUACUGAGGCUCCAAAUGAUCCCCCUCCGGUGCCUUCUCUUUCUGGGGCUCUACCGACUGCUGAGACUUCUCCUAAGCAACCUUUGUGAAGGCUCCCUCUUGUGUGUUUAUUUUGACUCAUGCAUAUGUACAUAUUUGUAGCUUAUCGAGGAUAUCAAAAUAAGCUUUCCUUCAUUUCAACGUAUUGUGUUAAAUACACCAAAGCCUUCUUCUCUAAGUUCUUUGAAUUUUCUUUUGUUGAAGCUUGUAUGUUGAAGCUUUCUGAGUGGAGCAUGUAGGUUGGGGUAGUGUUCCCUUAAUUUCCCGAGUGAGGAAAACUUCUCGGUUGGAGACUUGGAAAAUCCAAGUCACUGAGUGGGAUCGGCUAUAUGAAUCUUAGAACGCCAUUGUGCUCGAUCCUGUGUCAUGUCCUUCGUUAGAUCCAAGUACUCUAAGUCUUUUCUUAGAGUCUCUUCCAAAGUUUUCCUAGGUCUUCCUCUACCCCUUCGGCCCUGAACCUCUCUGUCCCAUAGUCGCAUCUUCUAAUCGGAGCGUCAGUAGGCCUUCUUUGCACAUGUCCAAACCACCGUAACCGAUUUUCUCUCAUCUUUCCUUCAAUUUCGGCUACUCCUACUUUACCCCGGAUAUCCUCAUUCCUAAUCUUAUCCUUUCUCGUGUGCCCACACAUCCAACGAAGCAUCCUCAUCUCCCGCUACACCCAUUUUGUGUACGUGUUGAUGUUUCACCGCCCAACAUUCUGUGCCAUACAGCAUCGCCGGCCUUAUUGCCGUCCUAUAAAAUUUUCCCUUGAGCUUCAGUGGCAUACGGCGGUCACACAACACGCCGGAUGCACUCUUCCACUUCAUCCAUCCAGCUUGUAUUCUAUGGUUGAGAUCUCCAUCUAAUUCUCCGUUCUUUUGCAAGAUAGAUCCUAGGUAACGAAAACGGUCGCUCUUUGGUAUUUCUUGAUCUCCGAUCCUCACCCCUAACUCGUUUUGGCCUCCAUUUGCACUGAACUUGCACUCCAUAUAUUCUGUCUUUGAUCGGCUUAGGCGAAGACCUUUAGAUUCCAACACUUCUCUCCAAAGGUUAAGCUUUGCAUUUACCCCUUCCUGAGUUUCAUCUAUCAACACUAUAUCGUCUGCGAAAAGCAUACACCAAGGAAUAUCAUCUUGAAUAUGUCAUGUUAACUCAUCCAUUACCAACGCAAAAAGGUAAGGACUUAAGGAUGAGCCUUCAUGUAAUCCUACAGUUAUGGGAAAGCUUUCGGUUUGUCCUUUAUGAGUUCUUACGGCAGUCUUUGCUCCUUCAUACAUAUCCUUUAUAGCUUGGAUAUAUGCUACUCGUACUCCUUUCUUCUCUAAAAUCCUCCAAAUAAUGUCUCUUGGGACCCUAUCAUACGCUUUUUCCAAAUCUAUAAAGACCAUGUGUAAAUCCUUUUUCCCAUCUCUAUAUCUUUCCAUCAAUCUUCGUAAGAGAUAGAUUGCCUCCAUGGUUGAGCGCCCUGGCAUGAACCCGAAUUGGUUGUCCGAAACCCGUGUCUCUUGCCUCAAUCUAUGCUCAAUGACUCUCUCCCAGAGCUUCAUUGUAUGACUCAUUAACUUAAUACCCCUAUAGUUCAUGCAAUUUUGUACGUCGCCCUUAUUCUUGUAGAUAGGCACCAAAGUGCUCGUUCGCCACUCAUUUGGCAUCUUCUUCGUUUUCAAAAUCCUAUUGAAAAGGUCAGUGAGCCAUGUUAUACCUGUCUCUCCCAAAAGUUUUCCACACUUCGAUUGGUAUAUUGUCUGGGCCUAUUGCUUUUUUAUGCUUCAUCUUCUUCAAAGCUACAACCACUUCUUCCUUUCGGAUUCGACGAUAAAAAGAGUAGUUUCUACACUCUUCUGAGUUACUCAACUCCCCUAAAGAAGCACUCAUUUCAUGUCCUUCAUUGAAAAGAUUAUGAAAAUAACCUCUCUCCAUCUGUCUUUAAUCGCGUUCUCUGUAGCAAGAACCUUUCCAUCCUCAUCCUUGAUGCACCUCACUUGGUUUAGGUCCCUUGUCUUCUUUUCCCUUGCUCUAGAUAGUUUAUAGAUAUCCAACUCUCCUUCUUUGGUAUCUACUCGUUUAUACAUAUCGUCGUAAGCCGCUAACUUAGCUUCUCUGACAGCUUUCUUCGCCUCUUGCUUUCGUUUUUCUAUACCUUUCACCAUUUUCAUCGGUCCUCUCCUUGUAUAAGGCUUUACAACAUUCCUUCUUAGCCUUCACCUUUGUUUGUACCUCCUCAUUCCACCACCAAGAUUCCUUUUGGUGUGGGGCAAAGCCCUUGGACUCUCCUAAUACCUCUUUUGCUACUUUUUCGGAUACAACUAGCCAUGGAAUCCCACAUUUGGCUAGCUUCCCCCUCUCUAUCCCACACACAUUGGGUGAUUACCUUCUCUUUGAAAAUGACUUGUUUUUCUUCUUUUAGAUUCCACCAUCUAGUCCUUGGGCACUUCCAAGUCUUGUUCUUUUGUCUUACUCUUUUGAUAUGUACAUCCAUCACCAACAAGCGAUGUUGAUUAGCCACGCUCUCUCCUGGUAUAACUUUGCAAUCCUUACAAGUUAUACGAUCCCCUUUCCUCAUUAGAAGAAAAUCUAUUUGUGUUUUUGACGACCCACUCUUGUAGGUGAUCACAUGUUCUUCUCUCUUCUUAAAGAAGGUGUUGGCUAAGAAGAGAUCAUAUGCCAUUGCAAAAUCCAAGAUAGCUUCCCCAUCCUCGUUUCUCUCCCCAAAACCAUGGCCACCAUGAAAACCUCCAUAGUUGCCUGUCUCCCUGCCCACGUGUCCAUUUAAAUCUCCUCCUAUAAAUAACUUCUCCGUCUGAGCAAUUCCUUGCACCAAGUCUCCAAGAUCUUCCCAAAAUUUCUCCUUCGAACUCGUAUCCAACCCUACUUGAGGUGCGUACGCACUAAUCACAUUGAUAAGUUCUUGUCCUAUUACAAUCUUGAUUGCCAUGAUUCUAUCUCCUACCCUCUUGACAUCUACAACAUGUUGUACCAAGGUCUUGUUCACGAUGAUGCCAACACCGUUUCUCGUUCUAUUUGUGCCCGAAUACCAAAGUUUAAACCCUGAGUUUUCUAGAUCCUUUGCCUUACUACCAACCCACUUAGUUUUCUUGUAGGCACAUAUAAUAUUUAUCCUUCUCCUCACCAUAACUUUCACUACUUCCAUAGAUUUUCCCGUUAAGGUUCCUAUAUUCCACGUUCCUAAACGCAUUUUGCUCUCUUGAACUCUACCCUUCUGUCCUAGCUUCUUCAUCCUCCCCCUAAUAGGAUCAAGGUACAACUUCUUUUUGUGUGUCCCGGGUAAAGUUGAUAGGAGCAUAUGCUCCCAAACAACUUUGAGUGGAGUCGUUCGAAAAAGAAGUUUCUAUGGCCCCUUGCUCAUUUAACACUGCAUCCGGGUGCCGAUGGAGAUGCCGAUGAGCGACCUACAGCUUGACCCUCUCACUUAUCACUGUGCUCGGGCCACACAGCGCGCCACUUACGGGUGACGCCCUAGCUUUAGCGCGAUUUUGUUCUGGAUUCAUUUUCAUAAGGAUUCGACGUGAUCAUGGAGUGCCGGCUGUCGACUACCUGACGCCCUCCCCCUCCUCCUUUAUCCGGGCUUGGGACCGGCCAUGUAAGACAUGGGCGGAGUUACUUUCAAUCUAUACAUGUGUAAAAUCUUUUCUUGUGCUUAUAUAAAUUUUUUGUAUUGUAACGCGCUUUCUGUGUCAAACGUCGCCGAUAUUUUUCUCCAUGGGAAUGAGUGGAAGGUCCUCCUCCUCCUCCUCGAUGCGGUUUUUAAUUGCAGCUUUUAUUGUUUUUAGCUUAUCCCCUCAAACGAUUUGUAACGCCACCCAGCUAAAGUGUACCUCUUCCUGCGGCCAUAUCCGCAAUAUAAGCUACCCUUUUUGCGGCAACUCAGGAUACACUCUGUCUUGUGAGAGCAACAAAACCAUACUAAACAUACCUUCAUCUGGCGAUUACUACGUACAGGCAAUCAACUACCAUAACCAAACAAUCCGACUUGUCGAUCCGGGCCUUGACAAGAGCAAUUGCUCCUCCCUUCCUCUUCAUUCUCUGUCUCUUCCUUAUGAGUAUUUCCAAAUUCCGACGACACCUGGGAAUUGUACAGCAUCAUCAACAGAUUCAUCAGCGAUAUGUACGGAAAUUGGCACAACAAAUUUAACAUUUUUGAAGUGUCCGCGUCCAAUGAAUUCAUCUCUUUACGUGGACGCUGCUCCAUGUUUUCCUGUUGAAUCUGCUUCUACUUCAUCUUCGUCGAUGUCGUCAUCCCAACCAAAAUCGUAUGGCUAUGUCAAGAUUGGAUCUUUAGAGGUAGGGCAGAUGAAAGACGGUUGCAGCAUAGAGCGAACGACUUAUGCCUACUUGUUCGACGGCUACAACGCUUCUUAUAAAUCCAUACACAAUUCUCUGGUUUAUGGAUUUGAGCUUCAAUAUAUCCGAGAUGGUCCCUUUUCCUGCAGAAACCCAUGGUGGAAUUUCAAGUGGGAUUUCGAGUGUUAUCCGCACAGCGUUCGAGGUGAGUAGGGAAUAAAUCUCAAUUUUCUUUUUUACUUCAUUAUCAUCUUUUGUAGGAAAUUCAUUUCUAUAAAAUAAAUAAAAUUAAAAUUAAAAUUGCAGGGCCAUGGUCAUCCUUUGUAAAAAAUUAUUUUUAAAUAAAAAUGUCAGACCAAAUUCAUAUAUUAUCUUUAAUUGAAGAGGCUUCUUAAUAAUUUAUCAUUUUUAAACUUAUACUUUAAAUUUAUUGAUUAAUUUAAAUAAACUACUUGUUUUUUAAAUUUAGUCAUUGAAUUUGAAUCAAUUAUUACAACUAAGUAGUUGGCACCAAAAAAGGCUAAGAAGAGGGCUACAUUUGGCCAGUUUGUCAUUUUUAAGCUUGUGGACCAUUGGAGAUGGCCAAAUAUAUUAGACAAAGAAAUAACAAGUUUGAGCAAGUGACCAUUUACCACAGUAAUAAAAAUAUGUUGUGCUCUUACAUGAUAACAUGAGGUUCGAAUCAUGUCAAUGACAUAUAUAACCUUUACCUUACUAAUGUAAAAAAAAUAAAAAAAUAAAGUUUGAAAUUUUAAUUUAAAAUCAACUGGUGUGGGCCAAGUAUUUUACAUUUUUCCCUCUUUGUCACCGCAGGUUUUUUUCAAUUUCUAUGGGUGCUGAUUCAAUGUAAGAGAUCUAUCCAUGGGAGCUUAUAUGACAUUUAAUUUAUCCUCUAUUUCGAGAGUUCUUAUAUUCCUUUUGAAUUGGUUUGACCCUUGGCUUCUUCCACCCCUUCAUCUAGAGGUGCUACUUUCUAGAGAACGUGUCUUUUCAAUUUGAAUUGAGAUCCAAAUAUUCAGAACAUGUUGUGUAGUCUAAAAGCAUCUCUAAAGAGGUCAAAUCCAAAAUAUCAAAGUAUUUUAAAAAAAAUAUUUAAAUAUUUGAUGAAUUUUUAUAUAAAACUGUUGUGGUUAUGUUAAAUGAUUAAAAAUGAUAUAAUAUUAAUGUCAAAUUAUUUUUGUGGUACAUGUGAUAUGUCAUUUUCAAUGUGAUCUUUGUUGUGAAAAAACUAUUAAUUAAACUCCCGUGGUGAGCCCUAUUAACAAUUGAGGUCCAAAUCUAAAGUUCUGUUAGUCUUCCGUUAGAUAAAAUCAUGUGACUAUCAUAUGUGGAUCGGUCAAAAUUAAGUUUAUUUAUUUUGAAAAAUAAAAAGACAAAAACAUGAUUGAAUUAAAAUAAAAAAAAAUGUAAAGAUAGAAAAACCCAGUAGUUAGACACUAAAUUAUACUAAUUUCAGUAAACCCUAAAUUAUACUAAAUGUUCAUUGAAUAAGAUGUAAUUUGGUUUGAAAUGAUGAAUUUGACACUUCAUGUGAUAGUUAUGUGAGUUUAUUUAACAGAAGACUAACGAAAAUUUAGAUUUCGAUCUUAAUUGUUAACAAGGCCUACCACGAGGGCUUAAUUAAAAACUUUUUCAGCAAGAGGGUUACAUCGAAAGUGGUGUGUCAUCACAUGAUCACAAAAAUAUUUGGACUAAUAUUAAAUUAUUUAUUUAUUUAUUAUUUGUUUAUUUAUUUUAUUUAUUUAUAAUCUCUCCCACUUUCACUCUCUUUCCUCUCCCUCAUUUUCUCCGCCGCUAUUCCUCCCUCAUCUCAACUUCACUGGAUCUUCGAGAGCAACACCGUCGUCAGUGUUGGCAUGGCCACCGUCAACAUCUCCACCCACAACUUCGAGGCCGGCGCCUCCAUUCUCCACCCCAGGAACUUGCACGCUUUUGAACUACACCAAGCUCCUCAACUUCGCCGUCAAAAGCCCCUCCUCCUCCUCUUCUGCACUUCAAAUCAAAGCUUCCCUUUGCUGAUAAGAUUGUUUUGCUUUCCAAUUCACUCGUCAUGCUCUUCAGAUACGGCUUCUCCCUUGUCAGGAUGGACAAGGUUGUUGAGGUAUAAAAGUAAAUAAAUAAAAGGUUUGUUUAUUGAGUUUUAACUUAGGGUUUUGUUAUUGAAUUGGUAAAUUUCUUUGUGGUGCAGAUAAGAUUGUUUGGCAUCUUAUUAAUUUAUUGGGUGUUAAUUUGGUGAAGUCCUUGCCUAUGAGAAUCAUCAAUCCUGCUACUGAAGAAAUCAUGGUCCUUUUCUCACCCUAAGCAUUUCUGUCAAUUAAAUUAAUUUCUGGGUUGUUUUUUAAAUUUAAUUACUGUUUAAUCAUUGCAUUUGAUCGUGUGUAGGAUCUAGAAGGAGGAGAGGGAUAGUCGUUGGUGCAGUGGUGGUGGUCGGUGUUGAGCGGGAGUGGGAGGGACGGCGGCGGUCCUAGGGACAAGGACUCAUUUUGAAAAACUAACGAGGGUGUAGGAAAGUUUCAUUAAACAUGCACUGUUGCUCUGCAUGUUUUGGAAAAGGGCUAGAUUUUCAAAGCUAUGUUUUGCUGCUUGAGCUUUUAGUCUUUUUUUUCACCCUCAAUUUAAAAAAGCUGGUUUUAGAGUGUUUACCAAACACUAAAAAGACCCCAAUUUAUCUUCAUACCUGCAUUUUUUUUUUUAAUUUCAGCUGUACCAAACUGGUACUAAGAGCCACAGACUUUCUUUAAUUACACUAUAUUUUUGUUGCACCUUACAAGAGUGGUAUUUAAUCAAUCACAUAAACAUGUACCUAACAAAUAAUAUAGUGCAUCCUCUAUGGAUAUGAAAAACUGCAACAAAUUUCAAUGUUAAUCCAGGUGUGCGUAGGAGCGAUAUGUUUGUAACUACCUCCAGGGUAUAUGUAUGAUGGCUCAUCAGAAAUUUUUGAAUGAUGGCUUAUCAGAAAUUGGAAACCAAAAUAGCUCCCAUAAUUGAUUAGGGGCUAUAUCUAUGAUGGCUUAACAGAAAUUUUUAUCUAUAAUAAUGCUUUGCACUUCGAAAACUAGCUAGUUAUUUCUCAUUGAUUUUGUUAAUAUAUCUUCUUGUAUUUCUUGGGUAUUUAAUGUUCUUCACAAUAUUCACUUUACAAAGUUCAAGCUCUAGUCAAGUUUGAUUUACUCUUCGUUCUGUUCUAAACGCAGAUCUUCUACGGCCCGGGCUCGUACUCGAAUAUUUCGGUAAGAGCUUUGCUGAUAUAUAUGAUAUCCAAUAUUGAGCAUAUACAUUUUUUUUUUUUGGUAAAUAUUGAGCAUAUAUACUUUGAUUCAAGGCAACAAGUCAAUUUCUUUUCUCAUGAUGUUUUUUGUGAUUUACUCCAAUGUUCAGUACUAUCUGUCGGGGCAAAAUUUCUACUUGGGGCACCAUUCGUGACUGCGUUUUUGAUCUAUACAUGGAAAAGAAGACAUUUGUCAAUGUACAACUCCAUAGAAGAAUUUUUGCAUGGUGAAAAGACUUUAGUGCCAAUAAGGUACUCGUACUCGAACAUCAAGAAGAUGUCUAACAAAUUUAAAGAAAAACUUGGUGAAGGAGGGUAUGGAUCAGUUUUUAAAGCAAGGUUACGGAGUGGACGUUUUGGGGCAAUUAAGAUGUUGGAUAAGCCCAAAGGCAAUGGACAAGAUUUCAUCAGCGAGGUAAAUACGAUUGGGAGGAUUCACCAUGUUAAUGUGGUUCAGCUUGUUGGUUAUUGUGUUGAAGGAACAAAGCAUGCUUUGGUAUAUGACUUCAUGCUCAACGGAUCUCUUGAUAAAUACAUUUAUUGCAAAGAAGGAAGUAUCCCAUUAAGUUGCAAGACAACGUACGAGAUUGCACUUGGAGUGGCCCGAGGGAUCAAAUAUCUACAUGAAGGUUGUGACAUGCAAAUUUUACAUUUUGACAUCAAGCCUCACAAUAUUCUUCUUGACGAGAAUUUCGUACCAAAGAUUUCUGACUUUGGGCUGGCAAAAUUAUACCCGGUAGAUAAUAGUAUUGUGUCUCUAACAGCAGCAAGGGGUACAAUGGGAUACAUGGCUCCUGAGCUAUUCUACAAGAAUAUUGGCGGUGUUUCGUUUAAAGCGGAUGUUUAUAGUUUUGGAAUGUUGUUGAUGGAAAUGGCAAGCCGAAGGAAGAAUUUGAAUGCAUUGGCAGAGCAUUCAAGCCAACUUUACUUCCCGUCAUGGGUUUACAAUCAAUAUAAUGAAGGAAAAGACUUCGAGGUGGGAGAAGUUGUGGAGGAGGAAAAACCAUUAAUAAGAAAAAUGAUUAUAACCGCCUUGUGGUGUAUACAAUUGAAGCCAAGCGAUCGACCAUCAAUGAAGGAAGUCCUACAGAUGCUCGAGGGAGAUGUUGAAUUGCUUCGAAUGCCUCCGGAGCCUCUUCUAUAUCCACAAGAGAUGCCCGUAGGUGCUCCUAAUGAUAAUCCGAAUCCAUCAUAUUCCAAGGUGGAGUUAACAUCUUCUUUGACGGGUAGGUGAAGACACGCAACUAGCAUGGACUCUGUCAGUUUGAAUCUCAAUGCAAUGUUUCUGGUUUUGUAGUCGUACUGUGUGCAUGUACAUUGAAUGUUAAAACUCCCUUUCAGUGAUGUUAAAUAUGUUGUUUAGUACAACAUAUUUUCAUGAUUCCAGGGAUAAAUAACAUAUUUCAUGAAGGACAUGUUGUAUGAUUCAUGAAGACGAUAUUUUCUAAUUUUUGUUCCAAGAAAUUAUUAGUUGUGAUGAUUGUUCGCUCGUGCUGGUAAUUCUGGUUCUCAUGGGCUCACGCUGGCUGCUCUUACAUAGCUCCGGUUGUUAUUUGUCCGUGUAGGGAGGGACCUCCCUAGUCAAUAUCGAAAACCUUUUUUUUUUUUCUUCUUGUGAGUACAACAAUAUUUUUACACUAAGGGAGGGCGGUUCGUCUAUGCCACACAAUGGACAACCUAAUUUGGUAUCGAAUUUUCCAUCUACAAGAUUCGGACCUAAGACCUCUUACUUACAAGCGAAGAGGAAUAUACUGAGUGGCAAUAUUCGAAACCUUUUAGUUUGCCAAGUCAUUUCUUAGUUAGAAGUUUUUUAAGAGAGUUGAGGUUCCACCGUAAAACCAAUUGGUAACAUGAGAGUAGUCUAAUUACUUAUAAGCACAUGUAAGGUCUCUUCUUUCUCCGACGUGGAAUUCAUUUUCUAAAAAAUUUGUCUGAGAAUCCCUCCUUUUCUAUUUGAAAUGCUGCCUGCUCUGUACUGUGCAACCAGUUUAUAGCUUUGGUGGAGGACUCAGCCUCAUUAUAAUUUCCUAAGAUUCUUGAACGUAAUGUCUAUCACUCGCUGGAGCAUCAUUGUGAUUGUAAGCCAAAUGGAAGAUUUGUUGAUCACAUCCUUGGUGAAGAUAUUCAAUUCCUUUGGCAAAUGGCUACAUCUUGCAGCUUAUCCCACAUGCAGUGAUCUAAUGAACAACAGCUCGUCUAAAUCCAUAAACGCAGAGCCAACCAAGGGAAUAGCAUGGUUGAUAUGACCCAUUGUUCCCCCUUUAUUUAUGAACUCUUCCCGAUCUCCCCUUCCAAUUGUAUAAUAUCUUGUGGUUCACCGCCUCGUAUUUCGGAUACAUUGAAAUAUCUCUAAUUUCUUAGAACUAUUGAGAAUCAACAGAAGAUAGCUUUCCUUUAAAAACAGUUCCACAUAUAGGCUCCUAGGCCUAACUUGUCUAUGAACUGAAUUGUAAUCCCCUUACUAUCGGGAUACGAAUACCUGCUCGGUUUGAGAGCCUUGUAAUCCUCCAAAAAUCUUUCAAUUUUUAAUCAAUUCACUCUCAUUUUCUUUUAUAUCGGAGCAAUAUACUUGAUAUGCUGCAACAAGUAGUAAUACAACUAAUGAUUCCAGGGAUGCACCUGUAAAUUAAACCUGGAGUAAAUAUUUCCAGGGACACCCGAAUCAGAAAUUUAUUUUGCCUGGUUUUUGAGUUUUUAGGAUAAAUCACUUUUAUUUUCACGUACAAAUCUUUCCGUUGCACAAAAACAUUCGCUAGAGACCAAGGAUCUAGAGUUGGGCCCUUAUCCCCACACUUGAAUUCUUUGCAGGUAUUUUGGGUUUCUCCAUGCACUUUGGAGAUGAAGAGUAAGAUUAAGUAAAAGGAAGAAAUGAGAGUUUUCUGCACUUUUGAGGUCAUACUAUUGCUCAUGGAUUUGUUUUUGAGAUGAACAAACUAUCAGUAUCUGGAUGGAUAUGCAUGUGCCCAAUCCAAUAUCAACAUGUCGGAGAAAAUUAGUUAAGUUGGUCAAGGCACCGGCACCGUAAGGUUUUGGUUCAAUAAAACUGAUGUGUAAAUUUUAAACACAUGAUAUUAUUUUAGGGCACUUUAACGGAAAGUUCCUGAUGAUACUGUUCACUUUAACAAAAAAACCACAUUUUUACACUAAAAAAUCAAUCAUGGUACUAUUCACUUUACCCUUUAUUUAAAACUUAAAGUUUUCAAACUUUUUUCAUUAAUUUUCCUAUUAUUUUAUAGGUCAGGCUAUCAUCACCUUGUCAGUGCUCCCAUUCAAUAUAAGUGGCAUCAUUAGCUAGAGGGACUCAAUGAAACCGAUGUUUAGUCCAUAUGGUGUCACUGUCAAAUAAUAUCUCGCCAUGUGUUCAGAAAGUACUCUAUCCAUCCGAUGAGUGACGGACAUAUGGUGAAUGGUGUGUGAGAAAAUCUCUCCAUUAGCUGAGAGGAUUAUGGAAAAGAGAAAAUUGCAUAAACAGUACUUGGACAUUUUCACCUUUGUGCAUCUAGCGUCCAAACUAAUAAAAUUACUUGACUACCCAUACAUUUCGACAAUACUAGAAAUUGCUAUCCGCGUGUUGAUGCGGGAUAAAGAAUUGUAAGAAAUAUUAUGUAUGAAAGAUAUAAAAAUUUGCUCAUUGUGAUAGAAGAUUAAUAAUAUUUACAUUGAAAACAUUAGAAAGAUGUUCAUGUACCAAAGAUUAAAUCGAUAAAGCUGACGUACAAAAAAUCAUAGCUCAACGUAAUACAACUUUUCAUAAAAAAUUUGACUAAACCAAAAACCAAACACAUGAAAGUCAAACUUUGAGAUCCAAUUAUCUUCCCAAGCUUCAAAAUCGAAUUCAAUCAACUUAAUUACACUGACAAAUCAAUAAUAUCAAAAUCAGCUAGGACCAACUCAAACAACCCAACACCCCCACAUCAACACACACAACUAAUACAGAAUCUAUUUGACCUCAUAAAAAUGAAAGGAAAACUAAUGAAAAAGGCUUGAAAACUUUGAGUUUUAAUCAAAAUGACAAAAAUGUGUUGUAUGUGAAUAGUGUCAUGAGUGAUUUUUUAAAGUAAAAUUGUCAUUUUUUCGGGAGUGUUUUGUUAAACUCCCAAAAAUGAAAUAUGCAGAGGAAUAGAACAUUUUCCAAAGUAUAAAAUCCAAACGAAAUUUCUGACCUCUCCUCCUUGAGCAUUUUCAAACACUUCCUUGCAAAUUGAAUUGGCAACACACCGUUGAUGUUGUUGAUGUUGAUAUGUAGCUGUUUAUCCAAGGAAAACAAAAAAUAAAAACAAAUUGAAAGACAGUUAUUUAGCGAGAGUCGAUAAUAUCAUUUUUGCCUUAAGAGAAGCAACAUAGAAAUAUACAACUAACUAAAAAUAAAUUUUUACAGAAAUAUCUCCCAAAAUAUGUGGAGCUACCUGAUUAAGUGGGUUCUUUGGCGUUCCAUACUCAGCAGCUAGAAAACCAAAAACAUGUCAUGCAUUGCAGAGAAGGUUAAUGGGAUAAACGUCAAGUUCAUCAAUCAUAUUUGCAUGAUAGAAGCUGCUGGAAUAAAUUCAAUCAUAUUCAUUAUCCAAUCUAGAAAAUUUAAAAUGUAAACAUACAAAAGAUAUACAUAUAUAUUAUAUUUCUGUCUUUGAUAAGUGCUUUGCAGACAAUCACACUUUUUUUUCUCUUAUUUUGAAAGAAGUAUAUUGUCUGCAAUUUUAUUAAAGUAAAUAAAAUAAUAUAAUAUUAGAACAAUGCCCUUAAACUAUGAACAUUUAAUGUGGAGAAAUUGGAAGUUGAAAUAAGUCGAAUACGACAUAAGACAGAGGAGAAAAUUCAAAGAAUAUUGUGAUCAAAAUCGGAACUCAGUGAGAGUUCAACAGAAAGAUCAAUGGAAAAUGCACUCACACACCAACUUGAAAGAAAACCUAGUGUCAAAUCAUUGUGUCAGAAAUAGAAAAAUGCAAACUUUAUAUGGAAAAUGAAGAUUUACUUGCAGACUGGCAGCAACAAAAGCAAACGGAAUACAACAGGAGUUACUGCAAUAGUGAGAGGGAGGAAGAGAGAUUAAAGAUGAGUGAUCAGUUAAAGCUAUAAUUUUUCAAGCAUGUUCUGCAAUAUGAAUCAUUUAGCUAUCACAAUAACAUGCUUGAAAUAAACAAUAUGCUUGGAAUAAACAAUUUUUCAAGCAUGAUUGAAAUAAACAAUAUGCAUAAUUGUGGUAUUAAAAAAAAUGCAAUAUCACCAACAUUCAUGAUCAUUAUCCGGAAUUGUUAAAGUAAAAAAGAAAAUCAAAUUAACAUCUCUCUAAUCUAUCUUCCUAUUGUAUUUUGAUAAGGUUUAUACCAAACAAUGUUUCCACCAAAAUUUAUUAGCAAAAAGAUCACAGUAGAAGUUAACAUGAGAGAAAGAGUUGACCUCUACCUCUUAUAUGUUGAUCCUACCAAUCCCCGGCAUACUUGAUCUCUUUUAAGUCCACCUGUAAAAAGAAAAAAAACACAAAAUUUGUAACACAAUUUGAACAAAAAGAGAGUUCUCAAUUAGAGAAAACUUCAAUUUCAUGUAAAGAAAUUGUGUUCUAAAUUCAAGGCUUAACUAUGCAAUAUUGGGAUUUGUGUUUAGCUCAAAUAAGUAAGAUGAAAUGAUAAGGAAGUUUCGUCCGGCUGGAAGACGUUAAAGCAAGCGCUUCUUGGGAGGCAACUCAUGUAUUCAAAUAAGGAAGGUUUUUUAAUUGCUCCACAAUCAAUUUUGCGUUUCUAUAAACCUUCCCUUUUCUGUAGUUUUAUUUUGCCAUGAUUGUCAUUUUUAUUUGUUGCUUGUUUAAUUGUUUUUUGUGUGGGUUUAUUUUUUUUGAAACACUGACAGUUAUGCAAGGUAUUUUUACAUUCAUAAAAAAGAAGGGAACAUUAAGCAGAUAAAUACAAGAGGAAGCCUUCACAAAGGCUACUUAGGAGAAAUCUUAGUAGUCGGCGGAGCCUCAGCAGUCGACGGAGCCCCAGAAGAAUGAGGCAUUGGAGGUUGAUCAUUUGGAGCUUCAUUACGCGGUACAGCCUCAGAAGACGAAGGCAAAUGUUGUUGGAACAAACCCAUAAACCUCUGAUGAUCAAGUAAAAUCUGACCAUCAGAUUCCUGCAUCUGGUCAAUCUUCCUCUUCAUGUUUGUAGCAUAGUUAUGUGCGAGCCUGUGCAACUGUUUAUUCUCAUGCUUAAGCCCUCUAAUCUCCUUCUUGAGACUCAUCACUUCAGCCGCCAAUGAUUCAACUUGACGGGUUCGGGCAAAUAGGCGUUGGGCCAUAUUGGAUAUGGAACCUGCGCACUGCACACUGAGAGCCAGAGAAUCCUUAACAGCCAACUCAUUAGACCGUUUGGCAAGUAGUCUGUUAUCUUUGGGAGUGACAAGGUUCCUAGCCACCACCGCAGCUGUCAUAUCAUUCUUUAUCACUGAAUCCUCAACGGUAAGGGGACCAGUAGGGGAUAUGAAGGAUGGGCGCAAUAUGUUGUCUGGAGAAGGCGGGACUGCCUCUUCACCAAGGUUCAAGUCAAAACGACGGUCGGAGGGACCAGACAUUUUCAGAGGUGUUAAAGAAAGAAGAGGUCGGACAAGUCAAGAUCGUAGAAGUGCAAGAAGAGAGUUUUUACAUGCAAAAAUUCAAGUGUGCUUUGAACGUCCUAUGUACCUCUAUAAAAAUCAGCACUCUAUGGGAUUUCAGAGAUCGAAGAGGCGAGCUCAGAAGUCGAAAAGGCAAACUCAAAAAUCAAAGAGGCGCUAACUUUCUCAAAAGCUGGGCUUGCUCAGAAACCACGGCCAAUCUUCUUUUCCAUAUUUGUCCGCACUUGUCACAUGCAACCUUUGCACUCGACGGGAUUUCAGAGAUCGAAGAGGCAAGCUCAGAAAUCGAAGAGGCAUCUGCUUUUUCAGACGUGUCAGCAUCUGUCACAUGCAGAGUCAGCUUUGCGGAAAUCACGGGCAGUUUUUCGAAGCGCUUUUCCAGACAUGUCAGCAUCUAUCACAUGCAGAGUCAGCUUUGCGGAAAUCACGGGCAGUUUGUCGAAGCAUCAAUUCCAGAUAUCGAAGAGGCACUUGUUUUUCCAGACGUGUCAGCACCUGUCACAUGCAUACUCAGCCUUGUGGAAAUUACGGGCAAUCUGUCGAAAAUCUCUUGUGAAGUAGAAAGCACGUGAAGUUUACUAUUAAAUCAUCCAACGGUUGCUGACAAGAGUGAAAGAAUAGUACCGGUUAUUAAUUCCUAUAAAUGUCACCCUUCACCCUCCAUUGAAAGGCAGACAUACAUAACCCUUAUUCUUCUCCGAUAAUGCCUUUCCAACAAACCAUCUCGAGUCACUCAGUGUUCCUUAUUCCUUGGGGUACCUCUGCAAACAACUCAUCCAAAACAAAAGUAUUUCAUAUCAUGAAGGUUGAAAGCAAGAGUAUCUCAUAUCAUGCUUUCUCCCUGUCCUUCUCCUUGUCGUUGUUUUGGGACAAGGAGAAAGAGAGCAAUCAGCCAGCACUUGGUAUCAAUCUUCCGAUCUGGAACUGACUGCCUAGAACCCAUUCCUGAUUGCUUACCUAGCCUUGCUCUCGAGUACUCAUCUUCAUCAUUUUAUGCUUCCUCUUCGUCUACCACAUCUGCCUGGGGAACAGAUAAGGGAAGUGAAAAUGAUACCUCGAAGCAUAUGGAGACAAUUUGCCAAUUCAUCCUCAGCUAGGGACAAGGAGAAAGAAAGCAAGAGGUAGGCACUUGGAAAGAUUGAAUAAAGAAACAGACCAACACCUCUACCUCGUGCCUGCCUGCCGUGCAGAAGAAACAAGCAGAGAAGAAUGCAGACUGCACAAUCAAAUCAACCCAACAGAAGGAGUCUGAUUUGAAACCAAGGAACUCUGAUAUUCCUCGCUCAGAAUUCCAAACCAGUUCGAGAUCAAAGCUGUGGAAAGUCAACAAGAUCAUCUAUCUCCAAAACCAGAUUUGCGUUCUUAAACUCUACUUUGUCUGUUUUUUUUUUACUUUGCUAUAUUUGUCAUGUUUAUUCGUUGUUUGUUUAUUUGCUUGUUUUUGUGUGAGUUUAUGCUUGAAACAUUGAGGACAAUGUUUGAUUUAAGUGUGGGGGGGGGGGGGUAACCAUUGUUUUGCAUGAAAUUCUUUGCAUGAAAUUUGUAGGAGUUUAUCACCCAUUACUUCUAGUGUUGUUCCUUGCUGUUUUAAAUGUUUUUAAGCUGUUUUGGAGUGUUUUAGUGUGUUUUGACAUAAAAAUCUGAAAAUCUCAUAAAAAUUUGAAAAAUUGUUUUGAAAAACCCAAAAAGAGUUGUUUUUGUAUGUUUAUUUGUGUCUUAGGAUACCUUCCAACACAAUGAUGAGGAUUUGGUUUUUAAUUACAUGACUGUUAAAGAGUGUUAUAAACAUGGAUGAAAAUUUGAUUUACUCUUUGGUGUAUGCUUGGUUGUGGUUAUAAUUUAUUAAUUCACAUGCAAUCAUAAAAGGAAAAAUCAGUUUUUUUUGUAACAUGCUUGAAAGAAGGAACUCAAACUAACGUUACAUCCUUGAGAGACUUGGGCCUAAACAUUUAUUUGGAGAGUUAUUAAUCUGUGCAAUUUUUUUUGUUUUCUAAAGUCGUUGCAUGAUCUCAUUAUUCUUUGCUUGGUUGCUACUUAGAAGGCGUUUCAUCAUUUAGUUCCAAAUGCUAGAACUCAUGCCUAUUUCAUUCAAAGCAUGUUAUUGAUUUGCAUAACACAUAUUCAAGAUGAAGUUGUUUAGUGAGCCAAGAGCCAAAAAGCCUAUCCCGUUCAUUAUGUGUUUAAGUUUAACCCUGUUGAGCCUUGUGUUGCCUAUGUUCUUUGUUACCCACACUAUCCUCACCUAGCCUAGAUUAGGACCAUCCAUACCCUUGUUCUUGAAGCAUAGUAAAGCAUAAUUUAGAAGGAAUUCAUUUUGUUGAACUCUUGCAGAAAAACAAGUGUGGGGGAAGUGAUUCUUGUGUGUGUGUGUGUCAAAGUCCUUCAUAAGGCACAUGUAGAAAAGGAAAAGGAAAAGAAAAAGAAAAAAUCGUGGAAAAUAGAAUGAAAAUAAGAAAAGUUGUGAAAGAGUUGAAAAUUUUAUGAGAAAGAACUCUAAAGUGUUGUUUGUUGAAGAAAUGGUCCAAAGCAAUGAAUUCGACCCUAAGUGUUGCAUGAAUCUUCCCUUUGUGUUUAAAUGUUGAUUUUUGCAUUCUAAAGUAAAUUCCAAGUGUCGAUUCCAUUACUUUGCUUGUUAUCGCUUUAAGAACGUUUGUUAUUCCUAUCCUUUCUUUGUUAGCCAUUACCCCCAAGCCCUAUUACAACCCUUGACUUCAAUCUUGAGUGUUGUGUGUUUCAGUUUGUGGAGUUUGAAAUUGAUAUGAGCAUAUGGUGUCACUGGUUCUCGCAUCUAAGUAGUAGCAUUCCAUUCAUGAGAUCAUAUAUAUACAUGAAUUAAUAAUUCCAGAAAUUGCUUCUUUGUUGAAAAACAUAUGUGAGUACUAAUUUUCAUGUUUACAUCAAUCUUCUCACUAUACCUAGUAUAGGGAGUGUAGUCAGAAAUUCUUGUGUGAAAAUAAGAGUGUAUCUAGUAAGGAAUUGAGGAAAUUCUCUAAGGCAUGUUACUAUAUUCAAAAUGCUGUUUUAAUUAAUUAAAUGUGAGUUAGUGAAUGGUGACUAUGAUUAAGUAUGCUCGAGGGUAAGGAAUGCUUAAUUCUAUGUAAGUGGUGAUCUUUGGCAUGUCAUGUUUCAUUGAAAAUCCCUUAGGCAAAUGUUGGAAGGUUAGGUUAUGUUUUGUUUGUUUUGUUUCGUUUUGUUUCUUUUGUUUUGCUCGAGGACUAGCAAAAGCUAAGUGUGGGGGAAUUUUAUAGGAGCAUAUUUAUGCAACUUAGUUAGCUUGUUCUUGUGCAUUUGUGUUGUUAUUUCUUAGUUAAUUAUGUAUUUUAAGCUAUUUUCGUGUGUUUGUAGGUCAUAAUAUCAAAGUUGACAAGAAAGUGCAUUUUGGAGCAUUUUAGAGUAUUUUUGAGCCAAGAUUGGAUAGUGCAAGCAUGGAGACAUGAGGAUGGACGUUUUUUGAAGAUUUGAAAGCUAGAAAUUAGCAUGUGUGUGUGCAAGUGUGUUGACCUACAACUCUAAACAUCCACCCACUACACCCAUUACAUCCACUCAUUACCAAACACUCAUCCAAUACACCCAUUACAUCCACUCAUUACCAAACAUCCACUCACUACACCCAUUACAUCCACUCAUUACCAAACACUCAUCCAUUACACCCAUUACAUCCACUCAUUACAACUUCAUACACUCAUCUCCCUAGCCUAUAAAUACAUCCACCCUUCACCAUAAUUUGGAAGAGCCUUCAUCCAAACACAUCCAUUUAUCUUCACAUUCAUUCCUCCAUACAAACAAACCUUCAAACACUCAUCAACACCUUGUGCCGUAGCAAAGGAAGGGAAGGAAAGUGCUUGGACGUGCUUGCUGUCCAACUUGGAUUUUUGGAGCGUUUAGGUGUUUUCUUUCUUUUGUUUUUAAUGUUUAAAUUCAUUUCCUUUCGUUUUGUUGUAAAUAUGAGUGGCUAAACCCCUUUUGGCUAGGGGUGAUUUCAAAGCCAUGAUUAUGUGUGUAAUAUGAUUUGAUAAAUUCCAGUUAUGAACUCUUGAAUCGUAAAUGCAAUUGGCUUAACUAUUUGAUUGAUAACUUAUUUGUAUUUGUUAAUUAAGGGUCGACACUUAAUUGGCAUGCAUAAAUCCGUUGCUAGAAUAUAAGGAAGUUUCACAUAAUCGUUACAAACUUAUAUUCACAUGUAGUCAAGGUCGCUUAUAAACGAUCGCGUUAAGUUCAAUUCCUAGCAUGAGUGACAUGAUGUCAUAAUUGCAAGUGCUUUGUCAAUGCUUAUGAUUUUCAUUAAACGUAAUGAUCUUUGAUUGUAUCUCUAUUAUGAUGUCAUGUAGGGAACUUUAGAAGAAUGUUUUGGGUUGUCGAAUGAUGUCAUCCAAUCCAAUAAAAACAAGGAAAAUCUGAGAGUUAAUUAGUGAUGUCACGGUUAAUUUGGAGCAUUGUCAUUCAUAAUUCAAUGAAGUAGUAAUUGGAAAUUGAGUUAUUUGCAUACAUGUCAUGUGUGGAGAAAAAUCUUGUAGCUAUCCUAUCCAUUAUCUUAUUUCUCAAAUUUGUUUUACAAUCUGUCUAGUUUUUCAUACUUGUUUGUUUGUUACAACUUCCUCCAAAUCAAAACCCCCACUUUUAGUUUCUUGUUUCAAAGUGUUUCAAAUCUGUUUUAGUUUGUGUUUUUAAGUGUUUUGAUUCAAGUAAAAGUCAAUUUUCGUCCAAAGUGAUUCCUAGUGUCUAGUUUAAGUUUAUUUGGUUGUUUUAAGCUGUUUUGAGUAUUUUAAAUUUGCUUUGAGUCUUGUGAGUCUUGUUAAGUAUUUUUAAGUUUAGUUUUAUGUUUUUAAGUCAAUUUAAAGGUUAUUAGCAAGCCCUUCUAAUCCCCGGUCCAGAACGAUCCCUACUUAUAGUUAAACUACAAUUGUCAAAAGAGGGUUAAAUUUGUGUGCUUAUAUAUUUCGCAUCAGUUCUUCAUUUUUUAGGGUUUUGGAUUUGGGAUUUCACGGCCACACAAUUGGUGGUGUCGCCGUUGUCAUCCGUGUGUGUAUGUCGGAGGAGGAAAAAAAAAGUGAACAAUGAAAAGGAGAGGAAGGUGUGAAACUGUCAAAAUAGUAAUAUUAAAUAAAAUAUAAUAAUAAUAUAGUGUUAUACCUUUUUUGGUCAUUUCACAUAGUCACAGCCAAGGAUGAAAAUAUCGGUAAUAUCGGAAAUAUCGGUAGUCUGAAAACACGGAAAUAUCGAUGGAAAUAUCGGGAUAAUAUCGAUAUCGAUAAAAAUUACAUGGAAACCACGGAAAUUGUAAGAAAAACUUGGAAAUUUUUAUUGAAACUUUGCAGGAUGUUUAUUUAGUCAAUUAUCUAUUAGUUUAUCACAAAAAAUUGGAAGGAAAUGCAUUGCAUGAUGAAUUUAACAUUAUCAAGUUGAUUAUAUAGCGAGCUGACAAACAUUGUGAGUGUAGAAAAUAUGUAGAAAUUAAUGAAAGAAGUCUAAACACACCAUAAUCAUUUAUAUAUAAUGAAUUAGUACAAUAUUUUACACUUUAUACAUUGUAUGGUAAGAUACAUGAGUGACUUAGUACCACAUAGAGUUCCUAUGAGGUUCAAAAUUUUCACUAUCUUCAUCAUCUCUAUGUGUAGAGUGAGUGUAUUUUGAAGAGUAGUUAGCAACCAUGACAAUGGUUUUCAAGAACCAAAACCCAAAAGUCAAUAGGAAACCGAAUACUUCGGUAUUUUUCAGGAUUACCAAACAAAUGGGAUUUGGAAACCAAUCCCAUAUCGAAAAUUUCGGUAUUUUUCGGGAUGGGAUUCCUGAACUUCAGGAUGGUUUUUUGGUUUGGGAUUUUUCGGUUUGGGUUUGAGACUUUUUUCGGUUUGGUUUGGGAUUUUCCGGAAUUUUUUCCAGCCCUACCAUGUAAGUGACCAAAUAAAAAAUAGAAAAAUUAAAAACCACAUGCCAUUGACUAAGUAAUUAAUUAACACAAUUUAAAAUAUAAUACCACAAAAAAUUUGGAAAAUGUGCAAAUUUGUUUCUUGUAAAAAGAAUUCAAAACAAAAGCAUAUAUAUUAAUAUUGUAGCAUAUUAUCAUAACAACACAAGUGGUAUAGUGGUUAAGGCCUUAAGGAGUUAAGUGGGAGGGGUUCGAACCCCUCCAUGCUCAAACUUGAGACUUUUCAAAAUUUUCAGGAAUUUUUGGACUAAUAUCGCGAUAUUAUAGCUAAUAUCGCGAUAUUUUGACGAAAACUCAUUGGAUACUCAUUAAAAUAUCGAUAAUCCAAAAAAACGAAAAUAUCGCCGAUAUAUCGGCGAUAUUUUGGAUAUUUUCUUCCAUGGUCACAGCUGUUUUAUAUAAAAGUUUACCAAACACUAUCAUACUGCUUUUUUUUUUUCCAAAAGCACUUUUACAAAAAAGUUUACCAAACACUAUCAUACUGCUUUUUUUUUUUCCAAAAGCACUUUUACAAAAAAGUUUACCAAACACUCUGCUGCUUUAUUUCAUAGUCGCUUAUUCUCACAUCAACUUUUUUUCAAAGCACAGCAAUACCAAACCAGCCCUAGCUGUGUCACGCGUGGUUCCAUUCGAUCGAAAAUUCUCACUCCAGGUACGCAUCUUAAAUCCCCUUUUGUAUUUGGGGUAUUCGCUGAUUUACCCCAUGAACUUGUAAGAAAUAGUCAAUUUCCCCCCUGAACUUUAAUUUUAGCCAAUUACCCCCAUAAACUUGUGUAAAUCACCAAUUUACCCCCUGCCGUUAUAUUUUAGACUUUACCAUCCAAUUCACCAUCCAAUUCGAUCACGUGCUCGGCACAUGCUAAUGAUGUGAGGAAAAAAUGGUAAUCAUACACCACAACCAAACCUAAUCGUUGUUAGGUAUAUGGAGAAGCAGGGGAAGGCGAGCCACAAAGAAUUGGGCAUUCUAGGGUUACAGUCUGAGAAAAGAUAUGGAGAAUAGAUGGUGAAAUCAACAAAUUGCUACCAAAUAUUGAAGGUAUUUUGAGUUUUGAAGUUGAGAACGAUGAGUAUCGUGGUCAGGGAUGGUGGGCAUCCUCCAAGAUACAGUAAGUCUUCACUUUUUCUUUUUCAGUUUGUUUAAUAUGUGAAAGGUUUGCUUUAUGUGUUAUUUUUCUAGUCGUGUGUGUAUAUUGGGUCCCUUGAUUGUUUUAUUCAGUUCUAUGUCCCACACCCUCCCACCCUAAUCCUAGCCCAGCCACACCCACACGCCAUUCUACCUUUUAAAUUUUUCAAGAAGGGGAUGGGAGAGAGUAUGGCCCUGAUGUGGAUCUAACUUGUUUUGUUGAGUCGAGGUAUCCUCGUAUUUAGCAAGAAACACCAUUUGCCGAGUCUCUUAAUUUACCUUCUCUAAGCUGCAUAAUCUCGAAUUUAUUUACUGUAUUAUGGUCUUUUGAUUUGCUAUAUAGUAUUUUAUUUUUUUUGUUUGUUUGUUUAUGAACUCUUUUGAUUCAUGCUUGCUUCCAUAGAUUGUGCCCGAAAUAAAUAGGUUUGUUUGUAUAACAGGCAAAGCCAAUAAUUAGUAAAUUAUUUUCUUUUGCUGGAAGCUUGCAUAUAGAUUGUGGCCCAAAAUAUUUAGCAAGCUAUUUGCUACUUGUUUGGAUAACAAACCAAGCAAAUUAUUCCCUCUUGCUUCAAGCUUCAUAGAUGAAAGAUCUAACAAACAAGCAACGUUGCAGGUCUUUGCUGGUAUAAUCUUUUUGGUGUAGCAUUGUUGGCACUUCCUGUAUACUAUCAACUUUGCACAUAUAAUAUGUUUAGUUGUUGCUUUUAUUGACUUUCUUUAAAUAAUUAGCAAGUUAGGUUAGUAAAUGUUGUAUAUUGGUGGAUAUUUGGUUAGUAAGUGUUGUUUGGUGAUCCUGAUUAUAUUGUGAUGUAUUUGUUGUAGGUAAUCAUGACCUAUUCACUUGAAAUACACCAUGGUGGUCACUUUAAAGCUGGUCAGUAUGUGGGUGGUAUUGUACAGUGGGUUGACAAUUAUACUAAAGGUUAUAUGUCCAUGCUUGAUCUAUAUGCCAAAUUAACGUUUUUUGGUGGAUGUUGUUAAGUCUGUUGCAUAUUUUUUGUGGAUGCUAGGUGCAAGGCUGUUAAGUCUAUUGCAUAUUUUUUGUGGAUGCUGUUAACUUUAUUAAAGCACUCGAAGUAAGAAUCGUUAAUUUCAUUUUGGUAAACUGGGCACUAAGCCAAUAUUUUUCAGUUGCUAAUUAGACUUCUAUAGCUAAUUUAGACAAAAUUGUACGGAGUGAACUAGUGGAAGAGAAGAAGAAUAAAGAUAGAAUGUCUACAUUAGGGAUAAAAUUAUUUUUUUACCCUUAAAAAUUUGGCAUGUGCCAUGCAUGUGACCGAGUUGGAUGGAAAAUUGGAUGGAAAAUUCUCAAAUCUAACAUCAGGGGGUAAAUUGGCUAAUUACAAAAGUUCAUGGGGGUAAUUGGCUAAAAUUAAAGUUCAAGGGGGAAAACGACAAAUACCUCUUUGUAUUUUUAUCUUUCCUGAUUGAUGAUUUAAUUUGGGUUUUAUUAAUAGUUUAAUUUGGAGUUUAACUGAAGGUUUAAUUCAGGUUUAUAGUUGGGGUUUAAUUCAGAGUUGAGAUGUAUUCGUGGUGAGUUUUUACUGAUAAUUCAUCUUCAUUCAAAUGAAUAGUUAAAAUUUACAGUGAAUGAAGAAAUUUAUGAGUUUUAACAAAUUUGUAAAUUAUUCUUAUACAUUUUAUUGAGGGGUAUGGGGAUCUAAUCGAUUUUUCUCUGUAGUGGGAUUGAAAAUUGGGACUUUGUCUCUCUCCCUCUCUCCUAUGUGUAUGAAUCGAGUUCUGAAGUGCGUAUGCAAAUGGGCAUGUUCACUAACUAAGCUUUCAAGGGGAGCGCAUCAAUGGUUUGCUUGCUGGGGGGAUACGGAGACUACUGGUGUAUGAUUGGUUAUCUUUUAUUUUUUAUUUAAAUUAUCCAUAUAUAAUGUGGGUAUAUUUAUAAUAAAGAAUUGUGAUAAGCCAGUGUGCCAUACGACUUUGAAAGCAUUGAUUUUGGGGUAAAUUACAUAAUAGCCCCUCAGGUUUGAGGUCUAUUUGCAAUCUUAUACAACAUCUUUAAAACAUUUCACUUUCAUACCUUAAGUACUAUUUUAUUUCAAUUUCAUACAACCGUUACAUUUUUCAUCUAUGGAUAUGUUAAAUGCUAACGUGGCUGCCACAUAUAUGUCAUGUGGCUGCCAAAUGUCUGCCACGUGGCAAAUAAAAUAAUUUUUAAUUUUUUUCUAAAAAACCUAAAUUGGAAGGAAAAAAAAAGGGACCGAACCCCUGCAACCCAAGAAGAAGAGAAGAAGAAAGAGGAGGAGGAGGAAGAAGAAGAAGAAGAAGAAAAAAGAAAGAAAGAAAGCGACCGAACCCAGAAGAAAAAGGAGGAAGAAGAAGGAGGAAGAAGAAGAAGAGAAGAAGAAAGAGGAGGAGGAGGAAGAAGAAGAAGAAGAAAGAGGAGGAAGAGAAGAAGAAAAAAAAAAAAAAAAAAAAGGGACCGAACCAGAAGGAGGAAGAAGAAGAAGAGAAGAAGAAAGAGGAGGAGGAGGAGGAAGAAGAAGGAAAAAAAAAUGAUCGAACCCCCUGCAACCCAGAAGAAGAAGGAGGAAGAAGAAGAAGAGAAGGAGGAGGAGGAAGAAGAGAAAGAAGAAGAAAAAAAAAAAAAAAAAAAAAAAAGGACCGAACCCAGAAGAAGAAGAAGAAGAAGAAGAAAGAGAGAAAAAAAAAGUGGCAGAUAGGUUUUUUUUUUAAAAAAAUAAAAAAUUAUUUUAUUUUCCACGUGGCAGACAUUUGGCAGCCACGUGGCAUAUAUGUGGCAGCCACAUCAGCAUUUAACAGAUCCAUGGAUGGAAAAUGUAACAGUUGUAUGAAAUUGAAAUAAAAUAGUACUUGAGGUAUGAAAGUGAAAUGUUUUAAAUAUGUUGUAUAAGAUUGCAAUAGACCUCAAACCGGAUGGGUUACUAUGUAAUUUACCCUUGAUUUUGUGUUUAGUUUGGAUUUUUGCGUUUGAAUUUGUAGCAUGAUCUUCCAUUGCAGCAUCCAAAUUUUGCAUUUGUAAAUUGUAAAAGAAAAAUGAAGUAUGAGGAAAUUAUAGGACAUUGUGUUGGCUUUGGCCAUUAAGGGUAUUAGCAGGUUGUUCCCCCAUACAGGUGAUUAGUUAGGUUGUGUCGUGGGUUUUCGCAAAUUUCUACCGUGUUUAUACAUGCAUUUUUUGUUAUAGAUUUGGAAGAAAAUAGCAUUACAGGGUGUUCAAUUCCUUAGGUUACUGUUGGACUAGCCAUGUUAUAAUUUUCAAUUGAUUUCUUCACUGUUCGGACUCUCUGCAUUAUAAAUUAGGGGUUUUAGAUUGUGUUUCCUUUCUGUGUUGUUUUUUUUUUUCUGCCGUUUCUUUUCCUCAUUGCCUUUGAAGAAACGAAGUUACAGGUUUGUUUUCAAUUUCUUAUUUACAUGCCUUCAUAUUCAAUGGAAAAUUGGUUUCUUUUAUUUCAACUUUAACUUCAAAAAUGGUUUUAAAUUUACGUAUUUUGUCUUCAACUCUAUUGCUUCCAUGCUAAUUAAGGUAGAUUAAUAAGUUUUGCAACAGAAACAACUAAAAACCAAGUUGGCCUGCAGGGUUAUCCGUUUGUGUAUUAUAUGGAUAAUUCUAGGACUUACCAUAUCAUGUUCCUAACUUGAUGCUCUGGGCAUCUUCUCCUACUAAUAAUAGUGGCACCUUAAUUUGAUCAACCAAAUUUGGUGAAGCACCAGACAAACAGAAACCCAUGCAUACAGAGCCAACUGCACUGAAGCAUGAAUUGAAAAAAAUAAUGUACAUGAUUAUUUUUCCACUACUUAAUUUGUUCCAAGUCACCACAAAUUUCUCUGCAUUAUGGUUGUUAGGACAAUAGAUUAGGUUGCAAGAUAAAUUUCCAAAGUUCUACUAGCUUAGUUACAAAUUAUUUUUCAGAAAUCAAGCGUGCAAAAUUGUUGUGCAUGUUUUGAAAUUGGUUGUAGGAAAUGGGCUUCCAAGUUCCAAGUCUUAACAAUAAUGGACACUAUGAAAUCAGGGUAACCAAAUGAGGAUAACUAUAUACUUCAAAAAUGCAUAUUUUAUAUAUAUAUAUAUAUAUAUAUAUAUAUAUACACACACACACACACAUACAUACAUACACACACAUAUACGUUCUAUCAAGAAUCAGAUUUGAUUGGCACAGCUGAAGAUGAAGAUGAACAAUAUGAGGCUAGCUAGGAGCUGAGUAAAUUGCAUUGAUUACCAUGUUGUAUUGGCCUAGCUACUCUGCAGUUAUUCUUCAAGGUUGGAUAUAAUGUAUCUACCUAUAUAAUCUCAGCCCGGGACACACACACACACACACACACACAGACAUGUCUCGGGCUGAGAAAUAUGAACAAUUAAUGGGUUUUCUAUUCAAAUUUACUUUUUUGUGAUUUUAGGGGUUUUGUUUCUAUUCCAAUUAAUGUGUUUAAUUGGUUUUGUUUUCAGUUUCAGGAGACCCUGAUUUUUUCGUUUUUUGGGCAUUUUCUUUGCAGCCUUGGAAGCCCUCUGUGCUCAAGGCAAACAAUUUCAACUUUUUACUUCUAAAGCGUAGCUCUUAUUUAGCAGUAGGUACUCCGUUGCAUACAAUAAUAUGUUUUGUGUUAUGCUGUUUUACCCUUUUGUCACUCUGUGCACUCAGAAAAUAAGCCACCCUAAUUCAAGCUUUCUAUCUUCAGAUCACUAGCAAUAAUCUCAUCAAGGUCCCAGGAGGAAUCACGAGGAUUCACUGCCGAAUUGGUAUGUACUUAUGCUUUUGCAAAAAGCCCUUUUCUUGCCAUUUUUCUAUUUUAGAAUUGGGACCAAAAUGAUUGAGUGAUUUUGAAAAACACAGAGAUAGAAAAAAUGGCUAUCAAGCAAGCAGGCCGUGAGUAUUUAGACAUAUAAUUUUCGGUCAAAUGAAAUAGUUGGCACCACAAGCUUUUAAAUAGGGAGGGAUGUUUGAUUAUAUAUUUAAAUUAAGCAACGAAUCUUGCAUAAGAAAAUGAUCCAAGUUGAAGUAAACCAAAUAUAUGGUGCAACAACUGUUACUUUGGUCAAUCUUCAUCACACUAAUUAAAUGAGCUCGAGGGGUUGAUUUUCACAGUAACUACUGACUUUUUAGUAUGUUCCGGAUUAUUUGAUAGUGUUAAUUACUUUUUACAUUUUUGAGGUCCGGAGUGAUUUUUAAAAUGGGUUAUGAAUUUUAAUUUUCUCAUAUUACACUCUUUGCUUCAGAUUUUCCACGUUUUGACUUGGACUUCUUUUUUACUUUGUUCUGUUUGAAGAACUUAGUACUUUUGAUUUCAGUAGCAAAAUAAUUUGAACAGGGUGAGACAGAGAGAAAUAAAGCAUCUAUUUGAUCCCUGUACUUUCUCUUAUUCUUAUGUGUCAUUAAGGUCAAAUAUCUGAAUUUUAACCUAUCAUCAUGUAAGUUUUAUAGUGUGUUUUGGAAGCGGGAGUGUGUGAAAUGGGUUGAUGCUGCUGAUAGUGUCCAAUUUGGGUACACUUCCCAGCUAGCAGAGCAAGUAACAGAGAGCUUUUUCCUACUCAAAUUUAAUGAUUCAAGCUGCUUAAGACUUGCAUAACUUUUACAAGUUGUAGUCGAUGUGCCUGAGUUCUUGAGUCUUCACUAAUGAAUGUAACCAUUAAGACUUGGAAUCUCUUUGGGGGGGUAGGAAAUAAUGUUAAUGGUUUGUUGAUGCUUAGGAGACUCUGUGGGGCUGCUUAAAUUUAAUAUAUUCAGUUGCAUAGAGUCGACAUGACAUGCAUAGCGAUGGUCAGAUUGCCACCGUUAGUUGGUGGUAUUAUCAUUACAACACAUUCAAAUUUAGGAUUUAGAAAAUUUAAUAAUAAAACUGAAAUAUAUGUUCCAUGCUUUUUGUUUUCAUUUUGGGUUAAAAGGUUGGAGCUUUGGAUUUGGAUUUACCAUUAUUAACAUAUAAUUUUGUGCUCCGGACACCAUCUUGGGGGUCUUAACAUGAUUGUUCUUUUAUUUCAUAGAUUCAAAAUGUGUUUAGUAUCUCAUUUAAUUGGUGUACCUUCGCUCAUUUAACUCAAAUUUAAUACGAUUUGGUCCUCCAAUUUCUCUAAAUUGCUAACGGAUUUACUUUCUUUGGAAAUUUUUGGAACUCUGGUUGUGGAAGGAAGAAGCCGUUUCCUUGCUAUUUUUAGGUAUUCGAUUAUGCUCCCUGAUUGGUGUUCAAAAUCUAAUUAGUUAUAUUAAUUUUUUAUUUAUCUUUGCAAAUCAAACACACGUUGAAAUUCAAAAUACAAAUAAUAAAUAAUAAAUUUUGAAAUGGAAUAUCACAAAUAUAGACGAACAAUGACACACCCCGAUCCUAGAAUCAAGGCGUGCUGGCCGUCACGUGAGCGUGGCGUAACCAAAAGUGCGAUGCGGAAGCAAAAGAUAUGGGAAAUACGAAGGAAUAAAAACCAACUACUAGCAAUAAUAUCCAACUAACAUGCUAGAGUGAGUUUAAGUGUGCAGUACACAAUUUCAGAGCAUAAUUACUAGGUGCAGUCAAGUAGGACUAUAAUUAAAUUACAACACCCGCAUGUGAGUCAUACAUGCAGGAAGUCUGUCAGAAUGCCGAAGAAAAACCUCGUGAGCCACCAACCGCUAACUAGAACCUGGAGGGGCACAAAACAAAAUUGAGCGGGUCAGUAAAACCAAAGCUUUUUUAAAACAUUUCAUUUAAAACAAUUUUAACCCCUCACUGUAAAACCUGUAUACUUUCCCAGAAAAUAACAUAAUAGCAUAAUAUUGGUUCAUAUCUCUCAAAACAUCAAUCUUAUCAAAAUCCAACAAGUAUGCCACGCUAUAAAUGACAAUGACAGAAUAUGGAUGCAUCAAUAUAACAGGUGACAUAAUGAAUCAACCAGAGACCCUGCAGUUGGUCCUGUACGGUUAAUUCUAGCUUAAUAUCCAACCAACCGGAGUCACCACGGUGACCUGUACGGCACUACUCUGCACAUAAGUCGGAACUACCUGAAGUAGUUUGUACAACAAGAAUGGUGUAAGAAUACGCUCUAGUGCUUCUCUCAUCCAUCAUCUGCGCGCAUAAUCUAAGGUCACCUACUAGUCGGAACCACCUCUAGUGAUCUAUACGACUAGUAUGUCGGAACCCUCUCAUGGUCUGUACGACAUGCACCUACUUGGAUCCAAGGUGUGCGUGCGGUGCAGUGAAUAAUAUAAGCACUAACACCAGGAAGUGCAGGUUAUGAGCUCUCAACACAAAUCACAUCAUCAUUAAUUCAUAUAAACCAUAUAAACUCACUUGAUACUCACCUGUGCGUCCACAGCACCAAUUCACAUAUAUAUAUGCAUCAAUUAUCAAUUCAUAUAUCUCAUAAUAUGCAUGCAUGGGAUUUUAAAACAUACUUUCAUUUAAACUCAAUUUCUGGAAAAAAUAUCAAUAGUAUAUAAGUAUAAACAGAAAUACUGCCCACUCACUCAUAAGUCGAAGGGUCGUAGCCCCCGUAACGUCCCUGGAUGCGCUUGUCCUCGGGAUAGGUAUCACCUAUAUGCGAAACAACUAAAACAACGUUAUUUAAAGCACAUAACCGACAAUUCGUAAUAACUUCUCAUACGAUGUUCAAUUUGGGUAUAUGAAUAUACCACAGUGACCUAUUCGACGUCACGAACGUCAGCAUAUUUGUAGAAAAAAAUUUGGGCUUGUCACGCGGCCCCCCCCCCCACGCGCGUCUCCUACCUUGGGCUCGUCGGACUGGUUUUUCCGGUGGCCGGAAAACUAGAGAUUUUUCAAUCUCCUUGUUCUCCGUCAUUUCUCAACCAUUUUUCACGUAUUUUAUAUCAAAAUGAAGCCCUAAGCAUGUAGAAUCCCGUUACACUACUUUAAGGCUCUAAAAAUAACGAAAUCUCAUUGGAAAAAUUCCAAGAAAACCGACCAACUUUGAACUCAAUGAUCUCGAUGUCCAAAACCUUCAAACUAAGCACUUCGAGCUUCCUUAGGACCUCACUAAGCUCACUAUAAGCUUAGAAUUCCCUGAAAUCCAACAACUCACGUGUGCAUGAAUAGUGAUCUCAAAAUGGGCUUCGGAUUUCACGUGAUAUCGAGGGUUCCAAGUUCUAAAAAUUGCACCAAUGAACUCACAAGCUUGCAAGGAUUCACAAACUUACCUUUUUGACGUCAAUCCAUGAAGGUUGGAAGGUUUUGGUGCCUCGUCCGUACGAGUCGAGAGGGAGAGAGGAAGAACUGAGAAGGGGAGAGAGAUAGAGGGCACGGGGAAAGGGACAGGGUGUCCCCCGUGUGUGUGUGGUCCCUCAAAACAAUUCCACUCUUUAAUUCCCUAACCACACAAAUAUACACAUAUCCUUUAAGCAAAUUCCAAUUUUUCCAAAACUUAGGGAAUAAUAUAUAUAUUAUUCAUAAUAUGUCACACCCAUACCUUAGUAACCGCCAGGGCAGUUUCGUCGUUUCACAACCUCGAGAAUAAAAUCUCGGGACGGACUGUGACAAACAACUUUUAAAUCAGAUCAAUCUUUUUAGGGAAGACUUGAUUAAAUUUUUUUUAUUUAAACCCAAUAAUUUUAUCUCUUCACUCAUUAGUUUUUGUAUAAACUUUAUAUUCCAGUUAUACCUUAAAACAAAUGUGGUCCACAUUAUGUGGGUGUGGAGAUAAAUUAUUCAAUUAUAUAAACUAGUAAAUGAGUUGGUGUAGCGUCAUCGGAGCCACCGUUGGUGACUUGGUCACAGGUUUGAUACCUCCCUUUUUUGUCUCUAUUUGUCUUUUAGCUAAUACUAGCAAUAGUGUCCGCGCGUUGCUGCAGGUCUUAAAACUACUUGACGUAAAAGAAGAAAAAAGGCAGUACAAACUUGUAAUGGAUAGUUUGUAAUUAACAGGUUUUUAGUAUGUUCAUGCUAUUUAAACACAAAACAUAGUAAGAAAAAGAAGCAGAGUGUUGACAGAAAGUGAUACACUAAAAUUUCAACAGAGUAACUAUUACAAAUAUAUAAAUUAACAAAAUGCAAAUCAAAACUAACCAAUUCAAUUAGAUAAUACUGCAGAUUUCAUAGGUAUUUGUUAAGGUGUAAGCUUAAAGCAUUAAAUUUAUGCAAACACGUUAAGUAUGUGCGUAAUCUAUCAUAAAUCAAAUGUAAACAAAAUAUGGAAAAAUAAAUAGGUAAAUAUGCUUUAAAAUUAGUUCACAAAAAAGGAAAUUAACAUGCCAUCACAACUUUUCAAACCACUAUUUUAUUUCUUAGGUCUCACCUUCAAGUGUUCUAAAAUCGUGGAAGGUGUUGCAUAUGUCCUUUACUGUGCAAAAAUGAAACCUGCAAAACAAACAGCCAAAUGAAACUUAUAUUCAUAAAUUUUAGAAGCAUCAGAACCAUAAUAACCUGCUGUUUCAUACACCUUUAAGGAAAUAAACUUUGAAAGAAAUGGAGCAACUCGAAAAUAGCAACUAAUAUUUCUAACGAAAAACCUCUUUGUUUACCAGCAUAGAAUAUAUAUUAAGGUAUACAUUAUAACAUUUGGUUAUCGGCAGUAGAAACACAAAACACUCUUCAGCAAAAGCAUUUAAGCAUCUAGAAAAGCCAUUCUAAUCGAUGUAAUGUGAGACUUAAACUUUUUAAUACCUAUUUCCAAUAUGUAUUAAUUGUUUUAUUUUAUCAAAAAAUUCUAAUCUAAUUUGAUAUAAUAUAUAUGUCCCCAAGGAUUGAUCAUAUUACCAAUUAUCAAAUCACAUUCUCUGUUUCUCUCUCUAACAUUUUUCUACUUAGUUUCCAACUCAUUUCAAACAUAUUCAAAAGGCGAAUUCAGUCAACUUAUCCACUCACUUUCCAACUCAUUCAAAUGCAAAGGAAAGCUGAAUCUGCAUGCAGUAGCUAAAGCUCAAAUCUUUACCAAGUAAUUUUCUCAUUCUUCAACUAAUUAUAUACAAAAAUAUGAAGCUUUACCCUUUCAAUUUCUUCUUCUUCUUCUCAUUUCUUCCCAAUAAAUACAAAUCCAUUCUAAUCCAACAAUUAUCAAUGCAUCUGCAAACUGGAAAAAGCAGGAGGACAGAAAACGUACCCAAAAUAUAACAGCAGCAUCACAGGUGCUAGCAAAUCUCAGAUUUAUUAAUUGAGCAACCAAAACGCAAAGUAUUCUUUUAGCCGGGAAAGCCCCAACAAAGCACCACAACUGACAGCAAAACGAAAUCUACAAAACUGUAAACCUGGAAAUUCACAAAUGUCCAUGCUUAAACAUAAAGUUAAUAAUUAACAUUCUACUAACAUUGAUUAAUUAUCAUUCAAGAACUCCUCCCAGAUGAAAAUACAAACGAAAAUUGGAGAUUAAGUUAUUAAAGAAUAGUAACCAUGAAAUUAAAAUAGGAAAAAGCUGAAAACUUUGUAAGAUUUGAUUGAGACAGAGUGAUCAGAGUUCAUACCAUUUUCAAGAGAGAAAAAAAAUAGAAGUCACGGCUGCUGCAACUGCUUUCUCUGAGUUCAUCAAGUUUCUGGGAAAUUUAUACUCUUUUAGCUGGGAAAGCCCUAACAAAGCACCACAACUCACAACAAAACGAAUCGUUAGGGUUUCAUCCAAAUUAGCAAAAAUUCAAAAUAAAACUGAAAUACAAUCAUUAUAAAACACACCUUAGCUAAAAAAGAUCGAUUCCGCAGUGAUCUGAAGACAGGAUGCACCCAAAAGGGUGGAAAUCGGCCAAAAUUCCGCCCACAACCAGGAAAUCGCAGAUGAAAAAAAAGACAAACAUGCGAAUAGAUUCACAGGAUUGAGAAAAUUUAGCAAACGGACGUUGAUAACGGAGACCGGAAAUAUGCAAAAGCUGGAGAAGGAAAAAAGGGAGUGCGAGAGAGAGAAGAGAGAUGGAAAUCAGAAAAACACGUAUGAUGAAGGGCAAAGUCUCGCGGUAGAAAUCAUAUUCAAGAUCCGAUUGACCUCCAUCAUUCAUCUCCUCGAUGACGAAAUCUUAGCCGCCAUCGGAAGAAGCCAAAGAAACCAGAUUGAUCAGCGGUUCUUGGGCGGAGGAGGAGGCGGAGAGAAGCAGGGAAACACGAAAGAUUGACGCAGGGAGAAAAACACAGAAACAGAGAGGAAGAGAAAGGGAAAAGCGACGGAAGAAAAUGGAAGAGCCCUCGAGCACCUUCUCACAAAACUGCUAUUCAUUUGACAGCAAAGCAAUAGGGCAAAGUUGAAUAACAAAAAAAAAGCAGGGGUCAAAAUGGAAGAACACUGUUACUUUCACUGUUCAUGAACAGUACCACCUGAGUUUGGGUUUUAGUAUAUAUAGAAUUUUGUCACCUGUGGGCUGGUUUGGUAUUGCUGUGCUUUGAAAAAAAGCUGCUGUGAGAAUAAGCGGCUGUGCUGUGAGAAUAAGCGGCUGUGAAAUAAAUCAGCAGAGUGUUUGGUAAACUUUUUUGUAAAAGUGCUUUUGGAAAAAAAAGCAGUCUGAUAAUGGGUCUUUUCAUUAAAGGAGCACUGUAGUUCUGUGUGCUUUGAAAAAAAGCUAGUUUUCCAAAGCUACAAAUUGCAGCUUCAGCUUUUUCUUUUGAUUUCAGCUUAUUCUCACAGCAGCUUCCAAAAUAAGCCUUUUUUUUUAAGUUUACCAAACACCAAAAACACUUCCAGCUUUUUUUCAUAGGAGCUUUUUUUAAAAUCACCUCAACCCCAAACCGGGGCUUAGACUCCUAUAAUUUAGGUGAAAAAUAACUUCUUUUUUUUUAACCGAAAGUGUGUCUUUUAAUGUGAAUAAAUUCUGUUAACGAGGAUUUUGGUCUUUGAAUUUUUUAACCGAAACUGAUGCUACACUGAAAUGUGAUAAAACUUCAGUCAUGCAUCACUAAGAAUCCCAUUUUUCAUCGGAAACCCAAGCAUAUAAAUGGAAGGUAUCAUUUCAUUAAGAAAGCACUGCAACAACGAGUGAUUGAUUUAGUUCAUUGUCCCACAAAUGAGAAGUUGCUGAUAUCCUUACAAAGACUCGGGCAAAAGAUCAGUUUAAUCAUCUGAGAGAUAUCCUUGGUGUGAAAUCAGUUCACAAUUUAAGAGUUGUUGAAGCAUAAAUUGUAAACUGAUUUGUUGAAGACUCAGUAUUAAUCUUAGCUUACACAAAAUCACUGAUUCAAAUUCCAAAUUCUAACAAUAACAUGCUUAGUUUUCCUGUCAAUUUGUUGAAUAAGUUUGCGUAUUUGUUGAACAAGUUUGCAUCAAAUCUUUGUUUAAUACAAGGUGCAUAAUUAGGUUAUCUUAUACAAGUUUAAGUUGUUGACCCACAAAACUAUCAAUCGCUAAUUAACGUAGGGACGUGAGCAAGAGUCUUUAAACUACACCUCUUUCUUUUUACUGAACUGGUCAAAUAUUUAAAUUUUUUGUUUAAUACAAGGUGCAUUGGAAUUUUCUUCACGAGGAUUUAAAAUUAUUCACGCACAGACGUACAUAAAUAACAAAAAUUAUUAUAAUUUAGAAGAGCCUCUUUCUUUUCAAUAAACUACUUGACAAAACGUAAACAUCAUAAUGUCCAGUUCAAUGAGCUAGAGUUCAAUGGAAAUCAAAACUCCGUCGGUGGAAAUGACAGUUGCAGAAACCCCGUUGGUUGUGCGUUUGGUACGUGGGACGGGACGGGACGGGACGGGACGGAACGGGACGAGGCGUUCCGUCCCGCGUUUGGUGCGCCAAAAAUGGGUGGAACGGGUUGUUCCACGGGACAGAUUUUGGGUGUUUUUGCGUCCCACCUCCACCCCCUGGAACGGGUUUGUUCCACGUCUGUGGAACACAAUGUUUUACCAUUUUAAGACAAAUAUACCCCAUGUCUUUUUCAAAAAUUACACCUUCGUUCCCGUCCCGUCCCGUCCCGCCCCGUCCCGUUCCGUCCCGUCUGCGUACCAAACGCACCCAAAGGGUUGAUAGAAACCAUUGUCAAAUGAUAACUUUUAUUAAAUUAUUUGCAUAUGUAAUGUAUAUUAUGCUUUAGAAUAUUUCAAAGUCAAUGAUAGCAAAUAACAAGACAUCUAUAAGAUCCAUCCGUAUCUUACACAUGAUAGCAAUUGACCUAGUCUUUCUUUCUAUUGAUUAUUACUUUGAUGGAGAGAGGCAUCUGUCUACCCAAUUGCCUAAUUGUUGGAUCAAAUUCUUUGUUCACAAAGCCAAUCAAAAUGAGUUUACCUACUAGUACAGACUGGAGCAAAACCUCAUGGAAAGUUAGAGAGAACCACAAUCUAGACUUUGAAGAAAAUUCAAUGGUUCCCUUCUUUUCUUCUUUCUUUUAAUUAUAAGUAAUAUUCUAUACUAAUUUACGUUAAGGGAGGAAAUUUUAGACUCGAGAUGCAGCGGAUUGAAGAAGAAAACUUUAACUAUCAAAACAAUUCAACACUUGCCAAUAGUUUCCUUUAUAGUAGUUUGUUUAUUUUCUCAUAUAAAUCAAUAUGUAAUCACCAUUAUCUUGUUUGAUUUUGGUGCGGAAUGCAUUAAGCUUUGAGGAGUAUUUCAACAUUCUGGAAGAGAUGUGACUAGACCGAUCGCUCUAGUUGGUAAGUAACUCAACCUAAAGUGAUUAUUGUUCAAGAAAUUCUCACUAAUAAUUCAUUAUUUCAAUCUCACCAUGUCGCGCAAUUAUCGCCCUCGAUAUGCAAAAGUAUUGGAUAAUAAAGAAGAAGAAUGUUAUAAAACAUCGAUUUGAAUGGGAAACUGUGAACUCAGAAACUUUGAAGAUCAUAACUAAGCAAGCAUGGCAACAAUAUAAAUUGAAAAACAUCAGAAUUUAUAAAUUGUUACGUAACAAUUUGAGACCUCCAAUCACCAAGUUUAAAUUUCAUGUAAAUAUGUGUCAUUUCUAAAUUUCUAUGAGUGAGAGUUUAAAAAAAAAAUCUUAUUUAAAUUCCCUUAUUUUUUUAAAUUAACCAAAUAAGAAAAUUUACAAAUUCUAAAAAAUUAAAAUUUCAUUUAAAAUUCCUUAGUAAUAUGAAAUUUCCUCAUCCAAACAAAAUGUAAUAUUACCUUUUCCUCUAAAUCCGUUUUUCAUAUUACCCCUAAAACAAUUUUUUCAUAUUUCAAUUUUACCCUAAAAUUUUAAUUUAAUUUCACAAUUACAACUGGCGUGUUUUUCUGACAAUGUCCUACGUGUGUUCGUAAAGUGGCUGUAAGUCAAAGUCAACAGCACGCCAUGUGGAGCGUUGCACAAGUGUCCAAGAGUGGCUUAAAAGUGUUGUAUUUAUUUUUCUGCUAGCGUGUUGAAGUGUCUCAAAGUUUUAUUGAGAAGUCAAAUCUCACACAAACAUAUAAAAUCACUAUAUAAAUAGGAAAUUGUUAUUAGUAUUUUAAAAUUUUUAUUUUAUAUUCUUUAUAAAUGUAUUUUUUUUUUUAUAAUUAUAGGAAAUUUGAAGUGCCAAAUAAUAUUUUUGGAAUGUUAAUAAUAAUACCCGAUAAAUAUUGUCUGUUAACAAUCUCUAAUAAUGACACGCGUGUAAUCAUCAUUUCUCUUGGCAUUUGAGAACGAAACAUUCGAGAGGGAAUCAUAUGAUGAUAUAGUUGAACUACAUCUUAUUUUAGCAUCAAUAAUCUGAAUGAUAUUUUUUUUGUUUCUACAUCACCUAUUUACGUGACUAACGUUGUAACACUCUUUUAAAUGACUAAUGUGUAAAUAUAUAUAACUAGACGAAACAAUAAAUUUGCUUAUAGAGUUCAAUAUUGUUGUAGACAAAACAAGAUAACUUUAGAUGAAACGACAAAUUUGCUCAUGGGUCAAAUGUAGAACUCAUAUAAGUGUAAGGCUGAUUGUGCCACAUGCGCUUUAGGCAAGCGGCGGAAUUAUUUGCCUUGUACUAGUCAACAAACUCGAGUCUAUUAGAAAUUAAGUUAUUUAAUUGAAAAAGAAAGGAAUUGACUGAUUUAUUUUUUUAUAUAUUGACAUGCAUACUUUAUGGGGUCAACAAUGAUGGCCGUGCGCCUUGCAGGUCAAUGGUUGGACUUUGGAGCUAAACCUCAUGGAAAGCUAUAGAAGAACUAAGAUCUAGACUUUGAACAAAAUUCAAUGGUUUCCAUUUUUUUUGUUUUUUUUUAUUCUUCUUUUAAUUAUAAGCGAUAUUCUAGGGUAAUCUAUAAUAAAAAAGGAGAAAAGUUUAUACUCAAGGUUCAAUGAGUUAAAAAAAAAAAUCUUAAUAAUCAGAAUAAGCCAAUACUUUCAUUUCUAGUAGUUUAUUUAUUUCCUCAUAUAUAUAUAUCAAUGUGUAAUCAACAAUAUCUUAUUGAUUUUGGUUGAGAUACGGAUUAAACUUGAAACCUAUUUCAACAUUUUGGAAGAGAUGGUGACUUGAUCAAUCUCUCUAGUUGGUAAUGUACCUCAUCCUAAAGUGAUUAUUGUUCAAGAAAAAGUGAAUUCUCACUAAUAAUUCAUCAUUCCACUCUCACCAAGUCGCAUAAUUAUCGCUCUCAGUAUGUAAAAGUACUGAUAAAAAAUUAAAAAGUUACAAAACAUAUCGAUUUGAAUGGGAAACUGAGAACCUAGAAACUUUGAAGGAUCAUAACUAAGCAGGCAUGACAAUAAUAUGUCUAUCGAAGCUAGUUAAGAACUGUGGUGUAAAAACUUGAGGAAAGAGUUUUGCAUAGAAGUUCUGUGGAAAAGUGAUACAAAUUGGCCAGCCAUUGGUUUCAGUUUCAAGUGAAAAACCAAGCAAUCCAACAAACCUCGAAUGUACUUACGUAGUCAGACAAAGACCUCAAGCUAUCGAGCACAUAUGGUACUUAGGUACAAUGGUUACACUUCUCAGGAGUCCUUAGUAACAUAGUAACAUAAAUAAGUGUGUGCACACAUAUCUAUCUAUAUAUCUAAGUAGAUAUGUUACUCUAAUUCAGCAAUAGCUUCUAACUGACUGUUUAGAUUUCUUGCAGGUGUAGCUGCAUUUGUUCGUGCAGGACUUGUAGAUGCAAAAGGAUUGGGAGGCAUGGUUAAGAUUUCUCCUCCUUCCAGCAUUUGAACAACUUCUUUCAUGGAAGGACGACCUGCUGGGUGCCACUGGAUGCACCAGAGCCCUACAAUUGCGAGUUUCUUUGGAGUUCUACCAUCUCCUUCCUCCCCAAGAUGGAUCCGUAGGUCGUCUCCUUCUUCUAGAAGAUUAUAGAUCCAUUCUGGAUAGUAAAUUUCAGUUGGGAUUGCUGAGGUUGAAUCAAUAUUCUUCUUUCCCCCUACCAUCUCAA